CAUGAAAUUUGUUGGAUUGCAAAUCAAGGUAUUCCAAAUGCGAUGCUUCCAACCAUCAUGAGGGGAUAUCACUAAACUCAUUGUGACCGAGAAGUAGUGUUUCUAAGUUCAUGCAUUUGACUAGGGAGCACGGUAAUGGCCCUUUUAAUUUAUUGUUUCCCAAAUCUAGACUUUGGAGAUAAGUUAUAUUACCAAAAAAUGGAUGUAUAUUCCCAAAGAAUUUAUUGUUAGACAAAUUUAGAUACAGAAGUAAACUCAACUGGCAAAUCGAAGGAGGGAUCUCAUCGGUGAAACCAUUGUGUGAGGCAUCAAAGUCAAGUAUAGAAGGUGGGGGCAUUAGGGGUGGUCCUUGGAGUGAGUUGUUGUGAAGGUCAAUAUAUGACAAACUCUUCCAAUGUAUUUGGUGUAUACCUCCCUCUAGAAAGUUUUGAGAAUGAUCUAAUGGGUCCAAUGUAUCAUGACUUAUUUCCCAAAACCACUUCGGGAUCUCCUCACUAAUCCUAUUGCAAGAGAGGCCUAAGUUUGUUAAUCUUUUUAACAAAUAUAAGAAAUAAGGGAACUCGGUCAAGUUGCAAGAAGUCAUCCAGCCAUUGAAGAGAAAAGGAUGAAAGAGAGAGAUUCUAAUAAGUCACUUUUGGAAAUGUACUCAAAUUACGUGAAAUGUGGGAGCGAGCAAGGUCAUUACUAGAAAGGUCGAGCAUCCAAAGAUGGCGAAGGAGAAGGAGGGAGCUAUUAGGGUGGAGAGUGCCGCAAAGCCAUCUGCAAGCAAGAUCGAGAGUAAUGACAUUACCAGUAACAUUGUUGCAAAUGACACCAUGCCACGAGUAGCAGUCUACGUCCUUGUCCCAUGAGUUUGUCUUUGAAGAAGAGUGGUAACAAGAGUCUGAUGCCAUGUUAUCAAACGUGAAGGAGUUUUUAAAAUGGAGCAAGGCGUUGCGCUAGUCAAAAGGGCAAUGGGAGUGUGGGAAAGGAAGGGGAGGAACGUAGAAAAGGCGAAUGAGAGAAAAAGAGAAAACAGAGGAGGUCGAGGAUAUGAUGCCACCCCAUGAUACGAUUUAGAGAGCAAGUGCUCUGACUUCUAAAAUGUGAAGUGAUGGACACUCUCUUCCUACACGACGAGUUCGACUUGUCUUGUGGGUUGUGAAUUAAUUUACUAUGCCUAUAUCAACCCACUAUUACACCCACCCCCAUUUUUCUGUAGUCAUCUAUUAAUCUUAACCCAUAUCAGAAAAAGCUAUUAGAUCCUGCCCAUUAUUCAGUCUAGCAUCCGAGUGAGUUUAUUGGUGGUUGGGAUAGGAAUUUAACUCAUAUAGCCCUUCUAAUAAGCCAAGUUCUCUCCACACGUCUGCUCUCAAAGGUCCAUCGGAAGGCUUGUACUAAAUAUAAUUUUGUAGGCUGCAUUCGCUCGUGACCUUCCCAGGUGAAAAAGGAUUAACCUCAGUGCAUAUGUACUUGUAUAGGAUUCAACUACAUCCGUACUGGCUGGCACCAGCAUGAACGUUACCCAGGUAGAUUCGGAUGCAAAAGCAUAAACUGGGUGUCAAAAUAAACAUUUAUAAGAACAGAGCUUAACCUCCCUUUUUUUUUUUUUUUCUAUCAGACAAUUUGCAUAAUUUCCCUACUUUUAUAACUCUCCGGAAUUGAUAAAAUUAGCAGGCAGUGGAAAGGUAAAGGCAAAUGAAUAACGUUAGCGGCAUAACUAUUCUCUUUUGAGCCAUUGCGCAGGACUGAACCCAGCACCUAAUUAAAACUGGCACCCCAUCAUCCACCUGGCACUCGGUUCAUCCAUAACCCUGAAUCGUAGAACGAUUCAACCGGACCCUGGAAAGAGAAAAUGUGAAUGUUACAAAAUAGAUUAGUACAAGAGGUGAGUAUCGACUGUGUAAUCAUGUAUUGCUACAACAUAAUUGCCUCGCAAGGUUUUGGAGGAAACGAGCAGGGGACUUCCGUGCCCUUAGGAGAGCUAUGCUAGCUUCUCCUCUCAUUUCAGCUGGCUGNNNNNNNNNNNNNNNNNNNNNNNNNNNNNNNNNNNNNNNNNNNNNNNNNNNNNNNNNNNNNNNNNNNNNNNNNNNNNNNNNNNNNNNNNNNNNNNNNNNNNNNNNNNNNNNNNNNNNNNNNNNNNNNNNNNNNNNNNNNNNNNNNNNNNNNNNNNNNNNNNNNNNNNNNNNNNNNNNNNNNNNNNNNNNNNNNNNNNNNNNNNNNNNNNNNNNNNNNNNNNNNNNNNNNNNNNNNNNNNNNNNNNNNNNNNNNNNNNNNNNNNNNNNNNNNNNNNNNNNNNNNNNNNNNNNNNNNNNNNNNNNNNNNNNNNNNNNNNNNNNNNNNNNNNNNNNNNNNNNNNNNNNNNNNNNNNNNNNNNNNNNNNNNNNNNNNNNNNNNNNNNNNNNNNNNNNNNNNNNNNNNNNNNNNNNNNNNNNNNNNNNNNNNNNNNNNNNNNNNNNNNNNNNNNNNNNNNNNNNNNNNNNNNNNNNNNNNNNNNNNNNNNNNNNNNNNNNNNNNNNNNNNNNNNNNNNNNNNNNNNNNNNNNNNNNNNNNNNNNNNNNNNNNNNNNNNNNNNNNNNNNNNNNNNNNNNNNNNNNNNNNNNNNNNNNNNNNNNNNNNNNNNNNNNNNNNNNNNNNNNNNNNNNNNNNNNNNNNNNNNNNNNNNNNNNNNNNNNNNNNNNNNNNNNNNNNNNNNNNNNNNNNNNNNNNNNNNNNNNNNNNNNNNNNNNNNNNNNNNNNNNNNNNNNNNNNNNNNNNNNNNNNNNNNNNNNNNNNNNNNNNNNNNNNNNNNNNNNNNNNNNNNNNNNNNNNNNNNNNNNNNNNNNNNNNNNNNNNNNNNNNNNNNNNNNNNNNNNNNNNNNNNNNNNNNNNNNNNNNNNNNNNNNNNNNNNNNNNNNNNNNNNNNNNNNNNNNNNNNNNNNNNNNNNNNNNNNNNNNNNNNNNNNNNNNNNNNNNNNNNNNNNNNNNNNNNNNNNNNNNNNNNNNNNNNNNNNNNNNNNNNNNNNNNNNNNNNNNNNNNNNNNNNNNNNNNNNNNNNNNNNNNNNNNNNNNNNNNNNNNNNNNNNNNNNNNNNNNNNNNNNNNNNNNNNNNNNNNNNNNNNNNNNNNNNNNNNNNNNNNNNNNNNNNNNNNNNNNNNNNNNNNNNNNNNNNNNNNNNNNNNNNNNNNNNNNNNNNNNNNNNNNNNNNNNNNNNNNNNNNNNNNNNNNNNNNNNNNNNNNNNNNNNNNNNNNNNNNNNNNNNNNNNNNNNNNNNNNNNNNNNNNNNNNNNNNNNNNNNNNNNNNNNNNNNNNNNNNNNNNNNNNNNNNNNNNNNNNNNNNNNNNNNNNNNNNNNNNNNNNNNNNNNNNNNNNNNNNNNNNNNNNNNNNNNNNNNNNNNNNNNNNNNNNNNNNNNNNNNNNNNNNNNNNNNNNNNNNNNNNNNNNNNNNNNNNNNNNNNNNNNNNNNNNNNNNNNNNNNNNNNNNNNNNNNNNNNNNNNNNNNNNNNNNNNNNNNNNNNNNNNNNNNNNNNNNNNNNNNNNNNNNNNNNNNNNNNNNNNNNNNNNNNNNNNNNNNNNNNNNNNNNNNNNNNNNNNNNNNNNNNNNNNNNNNNNNNNNNNNNNNNNNNNNNNNNNNNNNNNNNNNNNNNNNNNNNNNNNNNNNNNNNNNNNNNNNNNNNNNNNNNNNNNNNNNNNNNNNNNNNNNNNNNNNNNNNNNNNNNNNNNNNNNNNNNNNNNNNNNNNNNNNNNNNNNNNNNNNNNNNNNNNNNNNNNNNNNNNNNNNNNNNNNNNNNNNNNNNNNNNNNNNNNNNNNNNNNNNNNNNNNNNNNNNNNNNNNNNNNNNNNNNNNNNNNNNGUGGAGCGUCAUCGUAAGAAUAGGAGAUGUCACCACACUAUCGGCAAUUCGCAAAUGCGAGUUUCAGCAACGGGUAAUGUUUGCAUAUGCACUGAAGAACAAUCUAAACAUGGUGAAGUUUGUUGUCUAAGUUGGAGUGAUGAAUUAGCCCGACCAACAAUAUAGUUGUGUAAAUGUUAACGACAUGCCAUGCCUUACCGCGUGUGCUCAUGCAAAACCAUCAAUUGGUCUUCAUUGAGAGCCAGAUGUUAAAUGAGUAGUUGACUCCGCAGCAACCCGUAUACAUGGACAGUAAGAGAUUUGAAUGCUCUAAUAGAUAAAUCUAAAUGCUCAAACUGUAAGAGAUAUCUGUCAACUUACUUGCCGGUCAAAAUCAAUGGUGUGAAUGGAGAAAACUUCAUUGGCUAUUUGAAUGUCUUUACUGAUUAAACCAUCCAAGCACCUGCUUGGUAUGCUUGCAUUUUCACUACACUCCUGGGAAUAUAAAAUUGAAAAGCAAGUCAACAUCGAGAAACCUGAACGAAUGCUAGAGAAGGAAGAUGGACAUUUUGAAGAACUAAAGUUUCAUGCAUGACCAAUGGAUCACAUCACUAAUGAACCACCUUUUCAAUACAUGUAAGAUUUGGCAUAUUUGAUGGGUGAUGAAGAUCUCACACCAUCUCUGCCUCCAAAAAGUUGUAUAUCCCGUAUUAUAUCUUUGGAUAAUUAAAAAAAAUUGUUCAUUGUCUAAAUCUGCAGUAUCACUAAUAAUCCAUCGAGCCAAGAUUCAACCUUGCUGUGCACCUAAAAAAAGGCAGGAGUAACCCUUGACAAAAUUGGAAAUGAGAUAUUAAUGGCUCCAUAUCAGAAUACAAGUUAGAUAUGUUCUCGCUGAAAUUUUUUGCAGGAAAAACUGCUCCCACUCUGCACUACUUACUAUGCGAAGUUUAACAUAAGUCUCUCUUUUCCACUAAAAAAGUAGCAAGUUUGGUUACUUAGUAACUACUUUAUCCAAUAUAUGUAAGACUUUGAUUUCGAAUUUUGGGUUUCAUCCAAGACCUUUUUGGCCAGUAAAGGGCAGAGCAAAUGGAUUCUGUUGCAGAAAGAUUCAUGUGAACUCUGCUGACCAAAGUUGCACAGAGCAAUUAGGGAAGACAAACAUCGUGCAAGGUUGAGGAGGAAAUGGAUUGAUGCUGCUUUCACAUCCAGCAUCAUUCUAAAGAAAUACGGAGAACCAGAUGAAAAUGCAGAAAAAGAAAAAGAAAGUGAUGCGGAUUCAAAGAAAGGGACGUAUGAAUUUAAAGGCAAAGGUGAGCUGCCACAAAGAUUGCAUCUUCUGAGGAACACUUUUUUUUAGACAAUUUUAUGUAAGUUUUUGUAUUAUAUGAACUAGACCAGAUUAUUUGGCACAUUCAAUGUUUCAAAUUUAUCGUAUCCUUUACAAUAUUGAAAAGGUAAAGUAAUUAUUAAUUUCAAGCAUGUCUAUGAAUGCAUAAAUCUAAGUGGUGAUAGUAUUUUACAGAAGAUAAUAUAUUUCCUUUCUCCCUCCACAUACGUUCCCUGCAUAGCGUAUCUGCUUUUCUGCAGACUCAAAUCAUUAAAAUGUUAUAUCAUUAACCUAUUAAUUAUAUGUGUUAAUCAUCUCUUUUACUGCUAGGAUAUAGAAAAAUUGCCAUGCAUGCAUGUAUUAUGUUGCAUGGUCUAAUAUAACUAAUCUGACAUAUAAAGUUUCCAUGGCUUAGGACACCCAUAGAAAUCAGCACCUCUCAGUAAAUUCGAAGCCAGGGAUUCUAGUCUAUGCUUCGAUUUUUUAAUAAAAACCAGGGCACUAAGUAUCAAACCAAGUAAGUACAGGUAAAACUUUCUUCUCUAGGUGAUUGGGAAGUCGACUCCUCACACAUCCCAUACAUGUUGAACUUUUUCUCCUCUAAGAGGAAGUAAAUGAAUCCUUACGAGGCAGCAGUAGGCAAUGCAGAUUUUUCUUCAGUGACAGAGUUAAAACCAGGUACCUCCUCCUCUUCCUCGUGUUCUUGCUCAAAAUCUUCUUCUCCUUCAUCAUCAUCUUCGCCAAACCACACCUCGGAUACAGAUAAAGCUUGCAGCCUACGGUGGUCACCAUCUUUCAUAGCCUCAAUUAAAGCAUCCAUUAACACAGGUUCAACUUCUCGCAGGCUCGCAGCAACUUCCCUAACAAAUAUGAUUCAUUAAGGAAGUUUACAUUGGAUAUUAUGGACUCGUGAGGCAUCAAUGAAUCAAUGAAUCAUUGAAUCAACACCUCUCGUGCGUAUUUUGUAAAAUAAAACUAAAGUAAAAUACCUUAGCAAAAAAAAAAAAAAAACUAAAUAAAACUGAAGAGAAAAAAAGCCAAGGACAUUUGUGUUCCAUCUGGAAAUGAAAAAAAGCAUUCAGCAAGCAAAAUCUCAGAUUUUUUGCACAGCUUGAGCAUUCAUGUACGCCUCUCACGAGCACAUCAUUAGCAAUUACUUAUCAUUCAUCAAUUUAUGCUCAAGGAACUAUACUGCAAUUAUCAUCCAAGCAUUUCAAAAGUACAAGCUGACAUACUCACACACAAUCUAAAGGGGGUGAAAAGGGGGCAGUCAAAAAAGAGCUUCUUAUCUUAAGAACUAUUUUUUUGGGCAAGAACUCAUCGUGCAAUGGCCAAGCAUAGCAAAGAAGAUACCAGGUGAACCGGCAAAGAAAGGCAAAAAGAUUCUCACGAACACACACAUCCACACUCACAAAAACAUGAAUAAAACUUGACAGUACCAAUGAAAUUGAACUGCCUUCGCUUUCCUUCUCGAACAUCCGGUCCCCGUCUCUGCGACAAAUCGACAAACAUCUCAACGGCAUUAACAAGUAACAACUCGGACCAAAAGCCUCACCAGAAACAGCCACGCAUUGGAGAAGCAUCACCUUCGCAAGCAUCCGAGCGUCCAACGCCGCUUGCUCUCCAGAAAAGCCACUCUGCAAUCUCCCUUUUAAAAGGAAAGGAUAAUGAAUCUACAGCGCUACGUUAUUGAACAUCAUUAUAUACACAUCAUUUUUUCAUCCCAGCAGUAUCUGAGGAAGCGCUUGAUUUGGGGAUGGGAAAAGGAAGCGAGCUCCACGCCUUCUUCUGGUUGAGGCUCUUCUGGGCGUCGGAGUCGCUGCCGACAUCUUCUCGGGGAAUCGUACGGCGGCGGGCGGUUGGAGAAUCUGAGCCCGCGCGGCCGGUGAUGGACCUCGCGGUUACACCGUCUGGAACAGAAAACGUUGAGGAUGCGACGUUGUUCAAAAGGGCGAAAGAGAUAUCUGUAGUGGAUAAUGGCUCUCGCUUCAUUUCCCUCUUUUUUGGCUCUCUUUUUUUUUUUUCAACUGAGCGCUUGACAAAUUUCAUUAUUCAUCUUUUCAAUUCAACUCAUAUUCAAUUACACCACCAUACAAAACGAGAAGACAUUAGAAACAAGCCAUUCAUGAGGGAAAUGACAUUUGAAGCCAAUUGGGUGACAUAUUUAUUUAUUGAAUCUACAUUACACACUUUAAAGAGACUAUUCCUUAACAAUUUCACUGUCCAUGAAACUUGAUGGCCUUCCACUUUGGCUUCUCCAUCCACUGGGCUGCGCUUCUCUCCAACAUUCUCACGCCUUGCGCGAGCCAUUCCGGCCUUCCUAUUUCAAAUGCAAUGUAUGCUAUGGAGAUCCCAAUGACAAUUCCAGAGGCAUAACCAAUCCACACUUCUUUCUUUUUGAACCAACUCUCAUGCCUUUCACAAUCGAAAUGUGUCAAGGAUGAUGGUGGAGGAGGUUGAGCAUCACCAGGGCAUGCUUUCAACAAUGGAGUUCCACAUAAGCUUGGAUUCUCACUAAACGAGUCGUUUGAAAAUGUGCUCAGUUGCCUGUCUUGAGGAAUUCGACCAAUGAGUUGGUUCUUCGAGAGAUUUAAGUACCCAAGGGAUGCCAAAUCUCCCAAUACUCUAGGAAUUUCCCCACUAAGCAUGUUCGAAGAUAGAUCGAGCCAUCCAAGAUUAGUCAAGUUUCCUAAAGUCAAAGGGAUGGAACCAAUAAGGUGGUUGUACGAAAGGUUGAGCCCUACAAGGGAGUGAAGAUGGCCAAAAGCUUCAGGAAUGUCUCCUUGGAAAGAGUUUUGUGACAAGUCAAUAGUUGUGAAGAUGGUCAAGAUCUUCACUAACUUUAUCUCUUGCCCUUUCAUCAUCACGGUCACAGUAUUUUCAUAUGGUGUUAUCCCGUAGGGAGGGGUAAAUCAUGUCAUAUACAAUGGUUCAUCUUCCCCAACUUCUCUAUUCUUCAUGCCUCUAAGGUUCAUUAUCAAGUUGGCUGAUAAAGGACCACUGAAGUUGUUGUUGGAGAGAUCCAAAAUGCGUAACUUCGGAAAGAUGAGAUCUCCCUUUGGAAUAUUCAAAAGACCCUUGAAAUUGUUGGACCUCAAAAUGAGAACUUUUAGUUCUGGGAGUUCUCCUAACCAUCUCGGGAAUGUAUCCUCUAUCUGAUUGCUACUAAGAUCCAAAACUUGCAGAUAUGUACAAUUGACAAGUGACCGGGGCAACGUGCCUUCAAACCGAUUUCGACUCAAAUCAAGAGUCAACAAUCCACCUAUCAAAGAAAUUGAUUGUGGAAUUGUGCCCUCGAGUUGAUUCAUUCCCAAGUUCAAAAUCGAGAGAAAAAUGUUCUCAUUUGUUAAGCACCGAGGAAAGCUACCUGUUAAGCUGUUGUUAGACAAGUUGAUCGUCUGGAGAUAGGUGGCAUUGCAUAUCAAAGAAUGAAUCUUUCCUGUUAUAAUAUUAUUUGCAAUGGAAUAAUACGUUGUGACGGGAGAUGGAAGUGGGAUUGGCCCUUCAAAUUUGUUGUUGGACAAAUCUAUUACACCUAAUGAGGUGUUGGAGAAAACCUUUGUAGGCCACCGUCCAAUAAAGUUGUUGUUGGAAAUAGAUAAAUAUCCAAGAGCUAGGAAGGAGAGUUCGAAGGCAGUGAGGUUGAUCAUACCAUGAAAUCUAUUGGAUUGCAAAUCAAGGUGAUAUAGUUGCGGUGCUUUCAGCCAAUGUGGGAAUAUAUCAUUAAACUCGUUGUGAUUGAGAACUAGCCCCAAUAAGUUUUUCCAUUUGACUAGGGAGCGUGGUAAUGGCCCUUGCAAUUUAUUGUUGCUCAAGUCUAGAACCUCAAGAUUGGUUAUAUUACCAAAACUAGGGGGAAUAUUCCCUAAGAGACUAUUGUUAGACAAAUCUAAAAUCAAGAGUUUGGAUAUAUUACCAAAACAUGGGGGCACAGCCCCCAAGAGAUUGUUGCUCGAUAAAUUUAAUUCCAAAAGGGAACUCAACUGACAAAUCGAAGAGGGGAUCUCACCAGUGAAAUUAUUGUUCAUGGCAUAAAAGUAACGAGUAGAAGGUGAAGGGAUCGGGAGUGGUCCUUGGAAUGAGUUGUUCUGGAGGUCAAUAUACGACAAUUGCUUCCAAUGCAAUUGGUGUAUACCUCCCUCUAGAUGAUUAUUAGAAAGAUCUAAACAUGUAAAUGUAUGAUGGCUUAUUCCCCAAAACCACCUUGGGAUCUCCCCACUAAUCUCAUUGAAAGAGAGGUCUAAGUCUGUUAGGCUUUCUAACGAAUUCAAGAAAUAAGGAAACUUGUUCAAGUUGCAAUAUGAUAUCGUCAACACUUGAAGCUUUGGGAGAAGGAGGUAACUAUUGGAAUAGAGAGUGACAUGAAACUGAACAGAGGAAAACUCAAGACCAAUGACAUUACCUGUGACAUUAUCGCAAGUGACCCCAUUCCAAGAGCAACAAUCUAUGCUCUUGUUCCAUUCCAAUGUGCAUUUAGACUGUAGAUAAGGAUAACAAUAAGUUUUAUUAAGGUAGAAGGAAUUCUUAAAAUUGAGUAAGGCAUCACGUUGGUUAGGAGGGCAAAGGAAGGAGGCAGAGAGAAGAUGGAAAUUUAAGAAAAACAGGAAAUAGAAGAGGUCGAGGAUUUGAUGCCACCCCAUUGUGCAAUUUAGCAUGCGAGUGAGUUUAUUGGUGGUGGGGAGUGCUUCAACUUAUACAGCCCUUCUCAAGUGUGAAGUCAUUGAAACGAGUCUUCUCUAAGGUCCAUUGGUGGGCUCACAUGUGUCAUCUAUUUUAAAAGCUUUGUUGGUUGGCAUACGAGAAAUUUCAUGUAAGAUUCAGUCAGAAUGAUGUCUCAUUUUCUCAUGGUCAAGGAAGAUCAGAUUUUCUGCCAAAGUUAGUUUAGUCAUAGGUACACAAGCGUGUAAAACAAAUAUUCAAGUUAAAAAAAAAAAAAAUUCCUUUCCUAGACACAUAUACUUUACACUAUUCGUUCCUUCUAUAUCAAUCAUGAUAAGGAUGGACAGAAAGAAACAUUAACAGGGAGUGAUAUUUGACACAAGCUUUGUGACCCCGACCCUCAGGUUGUACACUACAUCCUAAAGAUAAACACAAAAAGAAAUAGAAUUUAAACGGAGUUGUUCUCCUUACGGUGAUAGGCUACCUAAUUAAUUGACAACCCGCAACAACGGGAAAGCCUCCAAUAUUUUCGUCAGACAUAGGAGCAAAUAAAACCUAAAAAAGUUAUUUGACACUUCAUGCCAGAGACAAUCCAUAUGCAUAUUUGGAUCGCGUCUAAACAUGUAUAAUACACGAGUCCUUAGAGACCACAUCAUAUUUCUCAAAGUUAAAUUAUUGUGGAAUUUAAUAUAAAGUGAUAAAAUAUCUUUAACUUCACUAAGUGCUUAAAAAUAGUUUAUAGCUACAAUUGUGCAGAAAGAAAAAGAAACACAGUCUGGUCGAGCACAAUAACUGUUGGCAGCGAUUCACUUAAUUAUAAAUGCUAAGAAGUCAAAGUCUUCUUGAAAUGACAUUAUUGUGAUCGCAAAAUUGUAUUUCUUGAUUGUCUUGGUGGGGUUCCUUGGGUGUGGAAAAUUCUUAGUUACUUGGGCUCUACGUAGACAUGGAGUGGACAUCUUAUCCAUUUUUCUUGAAAGACAUAUUACUCAAGUCUAUGGCGGCAUUUUCAUUUUAUAUAUAUGUGUGUGUGUGUGUGAUGCUCUGUUAUCAUAGUCCAGUAGAUAAAUGUGGAGAAUCUAUUAGGAGGAGCGCUUUCAUUUAUGAAUUUUUUUUCCAGUAAUGCAGCUUUGAAUUUGCAGAUACUUUGAAUCUCUAAUAUCUUUAAGUUUGAUAAAGUGCUUAUCAAAAAUUUUACGGCUAUUAUAGCUUAUGACAACUCUUAAAAAAAACUGUCUCGCACAACUUUUAGAUGUUAUAACUUUAAAAUAUGUAUUGCUCCAGUACCUAACUCUAAGGGUAAGACAUAAAAAUUUUAUACGAUGAUUUCGUAAAUCGUGACAUAUAUUUGAUAAUAGUAAGCACAAAAACCAAGCGGCCGUGAGGGGCGACGGUCCCCAUGCCGGUCAACCCAAGCAUACAAGAGGAUUAUCAGUUAUGGAAUCGUCUCACCUUACCCCCUGGAAAUCUGUAUUGUCAUUUCCGGGAGCCUUUUUUUUCCCCACCGCAAAGUCUAAUUCGGCUUCAAUUAUAAGGAAAAACCAAAAUGUCUCGAAUUGGCCACGCAACUUAUGAAAACCUGCGCAAAGACCCUGUGGAAAGGCCUGCAUAAUUGCUUCGGAGGCUGAGGAACUGAUGCCACCCCACAUUGCGCUUUAGCAGAUAAGUUAAUGGUGGUUGGGAUGGGGAUUCAACUUAAAGGAGAUUUUGCAAGAAUCGCAUGUUUGGAUUAUCUGCAUAAUGCUUGAGCUGCCAUGAUCCCCAGAAUAAAGACGACAAACAUCUCGUCGUGUAAACUCAAUUGUGCUAGAGUUGGUGGAAUAUGAAAACGAAGAAUCAGAUCAUCUCAACAUGAACCGGCUCUUGAUGACCCCCGCUCUCAUAUUCCAAGUCAGGAAGUUUGUUUUCCCAUGGAAAAAGUAUUCUCUGAUGUACUUUGUUCUAUUGUAGGAAAACCAAAUAAGGGCAAAAGGAAGUGGCUUUAGCAAAAGUGAGGGUUGCAUUAUUCUAGGCACUCAGGUGGUCCUUGUUCUGCUUUUUAUCAAGUAAAGUCUCCUCCCUUAUUGCUUGCCAAUAACGAAUCGCUUUUCUUAUGCUCAUACUAUUUAUCCACUUAAUUAAUUUAGUUAAGUUUCUUAACAAAUUACCGACAUAUUUUACUUUCAUCUUCAAUCAUUGAUGAGUAGAAGAGUGCAUAACUUUUAAGAUUAAGCAUCCCAUUGAUCUCUCUCUCUCUCUCUCUCUCUCUCUCUCUCUCUCUCUCACUCAUAUUUCUUUUCAUCAGGGUAAACAUAAGCAGCAUGCGAAAGUUAAUCUUAUGUACACGAUCGAUUAUAUAAUAAGAUCAUGAAGAUCAAUUGAGAAUUAGCAUGUCUAGAAUCCACAUGUGAUUUAUUUUUGUUUUUGGCUUUGACUUGACGUUUUCAAAAUCUUCCCGUGCAUGUUAUUUUGAAUAAAACUGUUCGGCAAGUUAUUUUAGAAACCGUUAUAUAGUCCGGGGAUGUAUUGCAUUUGUGUUUUAGAAAGUGUUAUAUAGUCAUUUCGUUCUCUCUUGUGAUGGGAGAGUAUGGCCUUUUUCCGGUAGUUAUAUCUUAGUCCACUGAUCAUAUAAACACAUAUUUUGAGUUAUCCACCAAAUAAUGGAGAUUACAAUUUUUUGGAUGAACAAUUAUUCAUGCUUUUUUGCAAUUUUAAGGUUUGAAUAUAAUUUAGGAUCACCAAAAUAUUAGCCUGUGAAGUAUCAAUGAUAUGUGAAUUGUUGUUUUGCUUUCAGUCCCCUCUAAUAUGUCGUUUUUGAGUUAAAAAUAUCGCAUGCAAUCAGAAGUGAGUAUUUUUCCGCCCUGGCUUCAACUAUACAAUAAUAAAUGUCUUGUUUGCAAGAUUCAAAUGAUGAGGGUAUCUGACGUAACCAAAGUACCUUUCAAGUAUGUAAUACUUAAAUAUGGUACGGUGAAAAAGAGUAUGACUGAAUGCAUAUUUAAAGAGGCAAGAAGAGGCUAGUCAAUUGAAUUUUAAAUGGCAUAAAAAAUACAAAUUUUCAAGAAUUUGAAGCUUUUUUCAUAUAAAAGCCACAUGAUGAAAUCAAAUUUUGGCAGGUUUGGAUUAAACCAGAUAAUGCGAUGCCAAACCAUCUUUUUGCUUAUCAUCUCGUAUCGAUUCCACUAGCCCAAGUAUCAGUUGAGUAAACUUACCAGAAGAAUUUCUUGUGAAAACAACUCUAUCCUUAGAAGAAUUGCGAGAAGAGUGUGUCCCACAAAGGCUGCAUGAAUCACGAGUUGAGAUUAUACUAAACAAAGACCCAUCUUUUGCUUCUUUUCAGUUGCCUCUUUUCUCCUUUGAUAAAGUCUAAUCUUGCUUUAUUUUUCAUAGUCAAGUCCGGUAAAAAGAUAAUAAUAAAGAAAGACCUGAAUGAAUGUGAAACGAACCCGCAUAAUCUUUUAAAAUUACGACAAAGUAAUCUUCACGUUCAUGCUGUUCAAACGCUAUCUUCCCUUAGCAACGGCUGGUCUUUUGAUUACUAUCACGACUAGGGGUCCAACAAGAAUAGUCUGAUACCGAGGGAGCGUUAAGGAAAACUUCCAGAGAGGCAGAUUUUAUUUGUGAUGCUUCCAGAAAGCAUAUGAAACACUGCACUGCUUUAUAUUCGAAAACAAGUCAGAUCAACAGUUACGUACAAUUAGCUCGAGCAUAAAGUCCUUGAGGAAAGGCCCGCGAAAUUGCUUGGGAGGACGAGAAUUUGACGCCACCCCAUUUUGUACUUCGGCAUGUGAGUGAAUUUAUUGGUGGUGGGGAUAAGGAAUUCAUCAUCGACUUUAGACAGACUGUCAACACAGGUCUUCUCUGAAAGAUCUGUUAGUGAGUUCGCAUGGACUUCCAACUUCUUCCUCCGUCAUCUCCAAUAAGACCACUUUAACUUGCCUUCCAGGUUGGGAGUUAAAAUUUCUUUGAAGUUUGAUAAAAUUCUUGUCAAAUAUAUUACGUAUUCGGAGACAAAGUUGGAAGUUCGUGCACAAGGCAUAUAAAUGAGAUAUCCACUAUUACCAACUUUGCUCCUUCGAAUUGGCACGACUUAAGGAGAUUUUGCAAGAAUUGCAGGUGUGAAUUAUAUGGAGAUUGGUUGCAAGCCAAAACAUCUGAUCUUGGCAGAAUUGGAAGGAAUCUCUGGCAAUUGAACUGCCAUCAUAAUUUAGUUAUUUUAUUUAAUGAAUACCACGUGAACUCAAUUGUGCUGGUCUUGGUGGAAUGUGAAAAGGAAGAAUCAGAUCAUCAUCACAUUUCCAAUGUGAACUGACUCUUGACGACCCUCGCUCUCACAUUCCAAGUUAGAAAGUUUGUUUUUACAUGGCAAAAGUAUUGUUCAACACACUUUAUUCCGUCGCACGACAAUCUAAUCAAGCGGAAAAGAAAGUGGCUUUAGAAAAAGUGUGAGGCGCUAAAUAUAUUCACUCAGGUAGUUGUUCUGCUUUUUAUUCCAUCAAUGUGCAAGUCAAGUCUCCAUGCGUACAUUGCUCUUCAUGGUCUUAACUAAAUUCUGCUAUGCAAUGUUGCACGUUGCACGUUGUAUAACUUCCAUUUGCCAUCAACAGAGAGGCAUUCUCAUUUAUUUAGGUUCAUUUAUUUUACAAAAAAUGAAUCAUUUCAAAAAUAUAUCCCUAAAAAUGAUAGAUUAUAUCGCUUGAUAUAAUUAGUCAAAAAAAGAUAUUUCCAUUAUCAACAAUAAUUUAUGUCCCAAUAUUUUCGUAGACAAUAUUAAUAAUUGACACUCAUUCAUUUUUAUGAGUGAUGUAAUCAAUCAGUUUUAGGAAAAUGUUUCUCAAAUGAUUUAUUUUCUGUGAAACAAACGGCGUCCUCCUUGCUUUUCCUUCUGAUGAUAAUCAAACUUGCGAAAUCCUCCAAGCACUCAAUUAAUUAUAAUUUGCAUUAAGCAUGAUACUCCUCUCAUUCUAUACAGAUGGUUCUACACGCAUCAUAUAAUUAUUGGUUUUCUAUAUAGAUUAGUAUGCUCAUAACAAUUACCUCACUUAAUUAAAUAACUCUUUCUCAAGUUAGGUUCUCUCUUUCUUAUCUCUCCAAUUUUUCGACUGGUCAUUUUUCUUUUCAUUAUAUCAGGGCAAACAUCGGCAGCAUAUGAAAGUUAAAUCGUAUGUAAGUGAUGGUUCAAACAUUAAGAUAAUCAGGCUCAAUUGAGGAUUACCACGUCUGCAAUCUUCACGUCAUUGAUUAUUUUUGUUUUGUGUAGUCUAGAUUAACAUUUUUGUCUUUGGCUUUGGCUUGAAGUUUUGAAAAUCUUCCCAUGCAUGUUAUUCUGAAUAAAAAUGUUUGGCAAGGUUACUUUAGAAAGUCUUAUAUAGUCUUGGGAUGUAUUGCAUUUGUGUUUGUGCGAGUGAGAGCUUCAUUUUGUUCGCUCAUUGUGAUGGGAAAGUGUGGCUUUUUAUUUUUAUUUUUUCUAUAUAGGUAUAUGUUAGUCCCUUGACGAUAUAAAUGCAUGUUUCGAAUUAUCCACCAAAUAAUAAGGAUCAGAGUCUUUUUUGGAUGAAAAAUCGGUCAUACUUUUUCAUUUGUAACUUUGAAUGUAGUUUAAAAUCACUAAAAUAUUAGCUUGCGAAGAAUCAAUCACAUACGCAUUGCUGUUAUGCUUUUUGUCACUUCAAAAUAUUUGUUUCGCGUGAAAAAUGUCGCGUGCAAGCGUAAGCAAGAUUUAUCUUAGUUUCAUCUUUAACUAUAUAUGACAGAUAAUUGAUUUGUGUGUAGCACCAAAGUGUUGAGUAUUUCUGACGUAAAUAAAGCACCUUUUGCCGAUAUAAUUCUCCAAUCUCUGAUUACAAAAUUGAUGAAACAUUAAAUUAAUUUUAAAAGAUCAUAACUGAAUACGUAGAAACAAGCGAAGUGGAUGCUCAUGAGUCGAAGAAAAAAUGGCAUAUAACAGACAAAUUUUCAAGACUCGAAGACCAUUACAUAUAACAAGCCACACAAUAAAAUCAAAUUUCAGCAGGUUUGGAUUAAACCAGAUAUUCUAAUGCCAAACCAUAUUUUUGCUUAUUUUCUCGCACCAAUUCCACAAACCCAAGUAUCAGCUGAGUAAACUCAGCAAAAGAAUUUCUUGUGAAAACAAUUCUCGUGCCAAUUCCACCAACCCAGUGUGCUUUUAUUUAGGUGCUUUCUUUUCUCUUUUGAAGAAGUCUAAUCUUGCUUUAUUUUAAGAUGGCUGACAAAAAGAAAUAAUAAAGAAAGACCUGGACGAAUUUGAUAAAUUUUUAAACCUUUGAUCCUAUAACCAAUUUCGUGUUUUAUUAGAUGUACAAAUAUAUAUAUUUGGAUAGCAGAUAUAUAUAUAUAUAUAUAUUGAUUUUGUUAUAAGUUGCGUCCUUUGAAUAAGAGAACCACCAUGCCAUUUCCCUAUUUUGGAAGGAAUCGGAGUGUGAUAUGGCUAAACUUGCUUGGAAGAACAAGUCCAUGACAAGGCCAUCGAUUCUACUCAUACCACAUUCUAGUUAUUAGUGUAACUUGACAUUUAUCGUGCACUCUGCUGCCAUUUGCAUAGAGGGCAAUGACUUGUACUGUAGUCUCUGAGAGAAUCGUACUAUUCAACAUUCCCAGAACAGCAGAUUGUGUAAGAGGAUUUGCUUCUACGUUAAAUAUAAACAAAUGAUUGAUUCAGAAAUGCAACGGCAAUAGCGAGUAGAAAUAUUUGUGAUGAGCACAAUAAUGGUAAGGGUACGAUCAAAACUAUCGUCAAGAGUUACCAUUCUUGAUUUGGCCACUAGAAGAAGUUUCUUUGCAGAUUUUCCUCUUAAGUCAACUAAUUCAAUACCCAGAUUUUCUAUUAGCUAAAAUGGAAGAAAUUAACGGAAUGACUCCAUUGUAUUUUUUAGGACUCAAUUGCACUUUCGUAACAAGUUUUAAGAUUUUUUGUACACUUAUCUCAUUUUCCUUUUAGCAACGAAGUUGAAAACAACCUUCUUUUUUUUUUUUUAUCAUUCCCCUCUUGUUUUUAGGGAUACAUUCCAUUUAUUUCCAUGUGAUUAUUUUCUGUCCUUCCUCACUUCUUUUCUAAACAACAUGCAAGUCAUAGAGAAAUAUUACUGAUGAAUCCUCAAUGAUGAAUUUAUGAGCUUUUCUAAGGACUUCUAUCUCAGCAAUGAAGAACACUGUGUUAGAAACAAGAAACGAUGGGCUGGGCUUGGGCUUGGGCUUGGGCUUGCUUCAAUGGUCACAGUGCCUAGAAACUCGUCCAGGCGCGUGGGGUUCUUGUAGAUCCAUGGGAAUGAACCUUGAAAUUGGCAAACCCAUUUCUCCUAAAUCUAAAUUCCCUAAGCAAGAACAAGUAAUUGGGGUGAAAUUGAUCUGCACAGCAUCAUGGAUUGGCCAUGUGCUAAUCUAAAGCUAGAAAAUCACAAUGUUACAAAUCCUAUAUUAAUAAAACGAAGGAAUUAUGGAAGCGAUAAAUUAUAAAAUAAAUGAAAUACAUUCUAUUAAGAUUUCAGGCUGUUAAAGAUGAGACACUGCUCCUAUCUGAUAUAGAAUCCAGUCUCUGAAUAUAUGAUGGUUUUAUUAGCGAUGGGCUUAAGGCCCGUCCGCCCAAGUUGGGCCCAAAAAGCCCGGCCCACGGGAAUAGGGCCCGUGGAUGGGGGAAGGUAUAAAAGGGAAGAGAGAGAGAGAGAGAGAGAGAGAUGACACCUGUUGGAAACAGAAAACGAACGUACGUCUUUUUCUUCUCACGCUCUCUCUCUCUCUCGCUUUCUCUCGCAAAAAGAAAACAGUGAAGCGCAAAAGGCGAAUUUGCUUCAUCGGAUCGAACAAGACCAAGUUUCUCUUCCUCUAUCGGCGUCGAUGUUUAAUCUGUGGCUUAAAAGGUACGCUCGAAUCCGUGGUGUGCUUUAGGAUCAGUGAUAUGUGUUGUUUUUCCCGGGCUCGUCUUCCGCAUUAAUUUAGGGGUUCGAUUCAGUGUCGAAUUCGCUUUUCGAGGGUCCUUUAUUCCCAACAUUGGUAUCAGAGCCCUAGUUCACGUUUUCCCGACCUGUUUGAUUUUUUUGAUUGAUUUUUCGCGAAAAUUUUCAGCCGUACAGAUCGGGGCGAGAAAUCCCAACACCCGAGUGUUGUUCGCCCAUUUUUCCGAGUUUUCGUAAGACAAAAUCGAAUUCUGAUUGCAUAGGGAGAAAGGGGUCGUCGAGACGAGUCCGGCGACAGGUUGUGCGCCGCCGGGCGACGCCGCACGCGCCCACACGCGCGGCCAGAAGCCGCUGCGCGUGGGCGCGACGAGCCCGGAAGCGCUGGCUCAGCCAGCGCAUGCAGCACACGCGCCGGUCGGCGAACUGGCGCGUGCGCGCCGCCGGCCGGCGAACCGGCACGCGCUGGUCGACGGACCGACGCGUGCUGACGUCACCCAACGGUCGGUAACCGCUGGGAUGAUGUCAGCGCUAACGUCGGUUGGCCGGGCGGUCACCGGCCGGCGACCCAACCGGCGACCCGACCCGCGGACGCCUGGCACACGCGCGGCACGUGCCGGCUGACGUCUGCGUGACGUCAGCCCGCGCACGCGCGCGGCAUGUGCGGUCGGUUCGUCCGACCCGGUUCGACCGGUCCGACGAUCUUACUGUUGACCCGUUGACCGUUGACCGUUGACAAAAAAAAAAGAGGAAAAGAAUGUGUUUCUUUUUCAAUUAAGUCUAUGUGGAUUAUAUGUGAUCCCUUAUUUGUUCUGCAUUUGUUGCAGGAACAAUGCCUCCCCUGAGGUUGUGCACACCUAUUCGCGCAGUUACCGAUGAACAAAAGGAUAGGCUGUCUAAGUUGAUAGCUGAGCUGACUAAUCAUCGAUGGGAGAGUGGUGACUUAAUUGAUCACGUCCUUGAAGUCAACAGGAAAAUUCAAAAGAUCAUAUGGAAUGGUCGUCCUAUGCCACAGUCAGAGAUGGUGCGAUUUUUCAUAAACACUCUUCCACCUGAAUGGCAAGAUGUGUUAAAUCGCAUAUGGGAUGUCAACGGAGCUGCUUCAUAUAAGAAAAUUGUGAUGGAUUUUGUAAAUGAAUAUUACUGUAUUGUUACAAGGGAAAAGAUCAAGAAAUUGAACAAAAGAUGAUCUUUCCCAGUUCGUGUGCUGACUUGGUGUUAGUUGUAUUGGCUGAUAUUCGUUAAGUGUGUUUUGUGGACAUAUUAUGUAAUGAUUACUACCUGAUUGUUGUUGAUGUAGCAACCGAUAUCUUGGUUGUAUUAGUUGAAAGCAUUAUUGUUUUAUUGUAUGUCAAUUAUCCGUUACUUUCUAUUAUUGCUGGUUGAUGUGGGUAAUUAGCUGUGGGUAGUUAUAGAAGUUUUUAUAACUUCAUAGAAUUGAUUUUGCAUAUGACAAUCACAUUAAUGAUAGUUUUGAGUUAGAAUUUUUGGAGGAUGAUUGGAAAUGUAGUGACAUUUUGAUUCUGAAGCCUUACUUGAAAUUAUUUAUUAAUAUGAUGGAUCUAUGUAAAUAGGGAUGCAUAAAUGAUAGGCAUUAAUAAUUCGUGCAUAUUUGUCUGAUAUGUUCAGAUCAAUGGCUUCAGCCACAAAGAGCAUAGUUGCCGAGCUGAACGAAGGUGAAAAGCUCAAUGGUGACAACUAUGAAAUUUGGCAAAUGAAAAUCCAGUAUGUGCUGGAAGAGCAAGAAGCACUUGAGACUCUUAACCUGACCAUGGUAGAACCUGAAGAAGGAACCAUUGCACAGCACAAGAGAGAUAAGGAAGCUUUUGCUACGUGGAAAAGAAAGAACUCUCUUGCUCGCAUCACGUUGCUGAGCAACAUGAAAAAUGACGUCAUGCGAGAGUUUAGGCGUUUUGACAAUGCCAAGGAAAUGUGGGAGGCAUUGGCAGCUAGAUUUGGUCAUACUUCGGUGACCAAACUGAGGCAGCUCACUAUUAGGUUUGACUCUUAUAAGAAGCCUCAUGGUCAAACCAUGAAGCAACAUCUUAGAAAGAUGUCAAACAUGAUAAAUGAGCUGAAAGAUGCUGGCCAUGUCCUCACAGAUGAGCAGCAAGUGCAAGCAGUGAUUCGUUCCUUGCCUCAGAGUUGGGAGCAUAUGAAGGUGCACCUGACUCAUAAUGAAAAUAUCAAAACCUUCGAGGAUGCAAUGCGUCAUCUUGAGCUGGAAGAGGACCGCCUCUUGGCGGCUAAGCUAGAUGCUGAACUCUAUCAUGCUAGUUCUAGCUCAAAUGGAGCUUCGAGCUCCAAGCGCAAGUGCCCUAACUAGUUUGAUAAAGGGAAAGGCAAGGAAGCAGGUCCUUCAGGGAAGAAACCCAAGUUUAACCAACAUGAAAGAGGAAAGCGUCCUCACAUGAAAAAGCUUGCAAGGGUGAAAUGCUACAACUGUGACAAGAAGGGUCACUAUGCUCGCGACUGUCGUGAGCCAAAGAAGGUAUGCACCCCUUGUACUUUUCAGAACUUUGCUUUUGUGUCAAGUUCUGUGUUCUUAACUGAGUCUAAUCAUUUGUGAACUGUGGAUUCAGGAGUGACGAACCAUGUAGCGAAGGAUAGAGGAUCCUUCGUGGAAUUCCGACGAGUACCUACUGGAACUAAGUGGAUCUAUGUGGGAAACAACUCUAGAGCUAAAGUGAAAGGAAUUGGCACCUGCCAACUGAACAUGCGUGGUGGACGCACUUUGUUCCUUCAUGAUGUGUUGUAUGCUCCGGAGAUUCGUCGGAAUUUAGUGUCUGUUUUAGUGUUGGCUAAAUUAGGUUUUAAUAUGAACUUCUAUAAUAGAGGUGUGGAUUUGUUUUUAGAUACAAAUUACUAUGGUUGUGGUUAUUUUCUGGAUGGUUUCAUUGUAUUAGAUAUUGAUUAUGUUAAUACAAAUGUUUGUUAUUCCCUUCUCACGUCUCCUAAUACAUAUGAUAAUGAUGUGAAUGUGUGGCAUGCUAGACUUGGUUACAUUGGCCAACAAUGUAUGAAUAGACUAGCCAAAGAGGGCUUGUUGGGCAACAUUGAAAAAGUCAAUUUGCCCAUAUGUAAGCAUUGCCUAGAAGGGAAAACGACAAGGAAACCAUUUGGAAAAGGUAAAAGAGCUGAAUUUCCUCUGCAUUUAAUCCAUUAUGAUAUCUGUGGUCCAAUGAAUGUGAGAGGAAGGCAUUGGGCUGUUUAUUUCAUCACCUUUAUUGAUGAUUAUACUCGAUUCGGAUAUGUCUUUUUGAUUUCUCAUAAAUCUGAAGCAAUAAGUUGUUUCAAAAGGUUUAUGAACCUGGUAGAAAAUCAAUUAAACAAGAAAAUAAAAGUAUUGAGAUCCGAUCGAGGUCGAGAAUAUUUAUCUGAUGAGUUCAGAAAAUUAUGUGAUGAAAAAGGAAUAGAAAGACAGUUGUCUAUUCCAUAUACUCCUCAACAAAAUGGUGUUGCGGAGAGAAGAAACAGAACCCUACUGGAAAUGGUUAGGUUCAUGAUGGCGCAUGCUAACUUACCUAUCACUUUUUGGAGUGAUGCGUUGUUAACUGCUGCCUAUAUACUUAACCAGGUGCCUUCCAAAUCAGUUACUUCCACUCCAUAUGAGUUAUGGACAAGUAGAAAACCGGACUUAAGUUUUCUUAAGCCAUUGUGCUGCCUAUACACAUGAGUCCUCUCACAAGUUUGGGAAAUUAGGUCCCAGAGGAAAGAAGAGUAUUUUCAUAAGAUACUCGAAACACUCGAAAGAGUAUGUGUUUAGAGGUGAGCAGGAAAGUGGGAGUAUAACUGAAUUUGAAUCACGGGAUGUCACAUUCUUGGAUGAUGAAUUUCCUAAGAAGGGCGAAAUAGGGGUAGAUCACUCCCUAUUUGAGACCUUGGAUCAGGAUAAUGAUGUUAGUGGAGUUCAUCCGAGUGGGAGUAAUAUGAGAAGUGAUGAAUUGAAUUCAACUCAUUCUCAAUUACAACCACAUGAUGAGACGACAUCAUUAUUACCUAAUCCAAGUGGGAGCAUGAUGGGGAAGAUGUGCAAAGUAUACAAUCUCCCAUACGGCGAACAAGUCGCCAAAGUAUUCCCCGUCGACGUUUUGACAUUGAAUGGGAAACUUUUAUGAUUGCUCCACAAGAUGAGGAUGAGCCAAGAAAUAUUAAUAAGGCUUUGAAUUGCCCUAAUAAGGAAAAAUGGAUUCAUGCAAUGGAAGAGGAAAUGGAGUCAAUGAGAUCAAACCAAGUCUGGGAAUUGGUUGAUCUUCAAAAGACGCAGAGCUAUAGGAACAGUGGUUAUCAAAUAAAGCGAAAGCUGAUGGUUCGAUAGGAAAGGCAUAAGGCCCGCCUUGUGGCGAAGGGGNNNNNNNNNNNNNNNNNNNNNNNNNNNNNNNNNNNNNNNNNNNNNNNNNNNNNNNNNNNNNNNNNNNNNNNNNNNNNNNNNNNNNNNNNNNNNNNNNNNNGGAUCUUGAGUUCAUCAUAUGGAUGUAAAGACUGCUUUCCUCAAUGGAGAAUUAUAGGAAGAAAUAUAUAUGAAACAACCUGCUGGUUUCGUAGUGAAAGGCCAGGAAGAAAAGGUAUGUCGACUUUUAAGAUCGAUAUAUGGCCUUAAGCAGUCAUCGAGACAAUGAUAUAUACGUUUUCAUAAUGUCAUAAUGGCAUAUGAUUUUACAAUGAUUGAUGAGGAUCAUUGUGUAUAUAUCAAAAGAUCCAAGGAUCAAUUUGUGAUCAUAUCAUUAUAUGUUGAUGAUAUAUUGAUUGCCGGAAGCAAUAUGGAGUUUGUUAAUACUGUCAAGAGUUGGUUGUCUUCCAACUUUGAGAUAAAAGAUAUGGGUGAGGCUGCAUGCAUUCUUGGAGUUAAGAUUUCAAGAGAUCGUUCGAAGAGAUCGUUGUCUCUUUCGCAAGAAACCUAUAUAAAUAAGGUUCUUGAACGAUUUCGUAUGCAAGAUUGUAAACCCAUAGACACUCCUAUUGCGAAAGGUGAAGGAUUGAGCUAUAGACUGUGUCCGAGGACUCUACAAGAGAAGGAACAAAUGAAACAUGUUCCUUAUGCUAGUGCAGUUGGGAGCUUGAUGUAUGCUAUGAUGUGUACAAGACCCGACAUAUGUUUUGCAAUUGGAAUGGUGAGUAGAUACCAAUCCAAUCCAGGUCCAGCACAUUGGAAAGCCGUUAAGAGAAUACUGAGGUAUAUGAAGGGAACUGCUGAUUUCAAGUUGAAUUACCAAUGAAAUGAUCUGCGACUUGAAGGCUAUUCAGAUGCUGAUUGGGGAGGAGAUUUAGAUGAAAGAAAAUCUACCUCAGGAUUUGCUUUCUUACUGAACAAUGGCGCCAUAUCAUGGAGCAGUGAGAAGCAAACGUGUAUAGCCUUGUCCACGAUGGAAGCUAAGUUCGUGGCAUUAUCAGCAGCGGUACAAGAAGGAGUUUGGCUUAAGAGAUUUUUGGAUCAUUUAGGUGUUAAUGAGAAAGCUGCAAAUCCAUUGUUGGUUAACUGUGAUAGCCAAGUAGCUAUAGCGUACACCAAAGAUCCAAAAUAUCAUGACAAGACCAAACAUAUAGAUACCAAGUAUAACUUUGUCAAGGAUAUGGUUGCACGAAAGGAUGUGAACUUACAGUACAUAUCUAUGCAUAGAAUGGUAGCAGAUCCUAUGACAAAGCCAAUACCUAGAGAUGUAUUUUGUGGUCAUGUAAAAUCUCUAAGAUUGCGUAGAGUCUGGUGUACUGGAUUGUAAUUUCCCUGAGUUGUUCACAAUUAUGAACUAGUGUUGUUUCAUUAUUAAUGCCUAUGAAUCUUUGUAUGAUCUUUAUGCAUCUUAAUGCUUAGUGCAUUACUUUAAGUUGAGAAAGUAUGUCGGACAGAUAAAAGAUUAGCCCACUCACACGAGUAAUCGCCUCUGUUUACUGUGUGAUAAAUAGAGAUGAGACUGUUUUAAGCUUAUUAUCUAGGUGAUAAUCGAGAGCUCAAGCUUAAAAUACGUAUGUCAUCUUAACUAAGUGUUAAGAUGAGAACAUAAUACUUACGAUGUCCGAAAGUAAAAUACCCCACAUAUUUUACUUAAUCUGUCUAAGAUGCCAAAUGUGAGUUCUGAUGAAUUUUGUGAUUGAGUAGAUACGUGAACUCAAGUUAAACAUUGGGUAUGUCUGAACUAUCAUCUGUACGGUAUUGAAAGGUGUAAACAUACACUCCAUGGGAAAGGAGUUAAGACCAUAAUACAUAUUUCAUACUACGUAUGCAUGAGACGAUCAAUAAGAGUGGCAAAAAGUUUGAUCUCAACUUUUAUGACGUGUGAGACUCUUGAGGAAAAGAGUUCCUCAAUUUUUAGUCCCCUCAUGACUCUUACUUAUUCUCAAGAUUUCUAUUUAGUGUUUGCUAUCUUAGGAUGUUGCCAAUGGUCAUGAGUUGAUUCGAUCUAAUUGGACAUUUCUAGAAAAGCAAGCUGAACUGAAAUUGAGAGUUUGAAGGAAAGAGGAAGAUCGAUUUUGGAGAAUCACAUUGUAAUUUUUGUAUUCACUGGUCGACUAAUUAUGACUGUUUUUGGGAUAAUCAUAGCUGUGAAUACAAUAUAUAUCAUGUUUGAAAGAGAUUAAGAGAGAUAUAAAUGUUAUCGAUCGAUCUAGGGUACUGCAUACUAAAUCUACUCGGAGUGUGACGCCAAUUAUGAGCUGCUAUAUAUUCCUAAUAGAUGUAUAGUAACGAGCUCUCAAAGUAUGCUGGUCGCACGGAUUAUUCACCAGUAUGAAUGUUGAAGAGAGGUAAAGAGAAUCUUGUUCGGCCCACCAUGUGCGAGUGGGAGAUGAUGGUUUUAUUAGCGAUGGGCUUAAGGCCCGUCUGCCCAAGUUGGGCCCAAAAAGCCCGGCCCACGGGAAUAGGGCCCGUGGAUGGGGGAAGGUAUAAAAGGGAGGAGAGAGAGAGAGAUGACACCUGUUGGAAACAGAAAACGAACGUACGUCUUUUUCUUCUCACGCUCUCUCUCUCUCACUUUCUCUCCCAAAAAGAAAACAGUGAAGCGCAAAAGGCGAAUUUGCUUCAUCGGAUCGAACAGGACCAAGUUUCUCUUCCUCUAUCGGCGUCGGUGUUUAAUCUAUGGCUUAAAAGGUACGCUCGAAUCCGUGGUGUGCUUUAGGAUCGGUGAUACGUGUUGUUUUUCCUGGGCUCGUCUUCUGCAUUGAUUUAGGGGUUCGAUUCAGUGUCGAAUCCGCUUUUCGGGGAUCCGUUAUUCCCAACAAUAUACACAACGAGUACCUAAAAAUCUAAUUAAUCUUCAUGAGUGCUAAGAAAUGAAGCCACUUAAAAUGCAGGACGCCAUAUCACCCAACAAUUGGAUCUUAUCAACAGCAGUAACACGGAUCCUCAUAGCUGCUGACGCUGAUCUGUCUCCAUUUUCCGCCUUGGGCUAUCCGUCGACUCGGCGGCAGCAACGGACACCACAAACUGGCUAGGCCACUGGAACAGCAUGAACUCGUCGUGUUGGAUCCAAGAGAGUGGCAUUUGCCUCGUGGACCGCUUGAACUCAGUCCUCGAUGCGGCGAUGUCCGGUUGUAGGACCCCAAAAGCCUCUGGUAGGCAGUCUUGAUCUCCCGACAAAGUCACCGCAGCAGUCUUGAUUGGAAAAUUUCCACGGUCCCAAUUUCUCGUGUUUUAGAGUUUUGUUCCUUGACUCAAUACACAUUGUCUUCAGGGCAUUGGGGUAGAAUGGGCAUAGACAGGCUGAUAUAAUAACUUGGAGGACGAUGAACAUCGGGCAAGGUGGAGGAGGAACUGGAGUCAUACAGCUUUCGCAUCCAGUAUCAUUCUAAAGAAAUACGGAGGAAGGGAUGAAGAUGCAGAAAGUGGUGCGGAGUCGAAGAAAGGGAUGUAUGAAUUAAUAAGCAAUGGUGAGCUCCCAACAAGAUUUUUUAUUCGAGACAAAUUUAUGUGUCUUUAUAUUAUAUGAACAAGACCAGAUUAUUCGGCAUAAUUAAUGUAUCACAUUAAUCCUAUCCUCUAUGAUAUUUGAAAAAGUAGAGUAAUUAUCCACUUCUAGCAUGAUUAUGAAUGCAUCAUUCAAAAGUGAUGAUAGUAUUUUACAGAAGACGAUAUAUUCCCUUUCUCCCACUGCAGAGUUUCCCUAUGUUGCAUAUUUAUUUUUCUUCAGACUCAAAUUAUUUAAACAUUAUGUCUUUCACUUUUCUUAAUGAAAUUGACGUAUUAAUUAUAUGUGGCAAUCUUCAUUUUUCUUACAAGAAUAUACAGAAAUUAGCAUGCAUGUACGUAUUAUGUUGUGAGGUUUAAUGUAUCCAAUUCGAUGCGUAAGGUUUCCAUGGCUUAGGACACCUGUAGAAAUCAGCAGCUCUCAUUAUCUACAAAGUCGGGAUUUUAGUCUAUGCUUAAUGAAUUUGUAACCAGCACAGUGUUUCCAGUGAUUUUCCAAUAACAACUAAAGGAACUAAAGUAUCGAAUCAAUUCAGUACAUUGAAACUUUCUUCUCUAGGUGAUUGAGAAGUGGACUCCCGUCAGACGUCCCAUACAUGUCAACCUCUGCUUUCAACUCUUAGCAAUUUCAAUUGAUUAUUUUCUUUUCCUUCCUCGCUCCUUUCACCAGAACGUGCAGGUCACAGAGAAAUCUUACAGAUGAAUCCUUGAUGAUGAACUUACGAGCUUUUCUGGGGACUUGUGUUUCACCGUUGAAGGGCGCCGUGUUGGAAACAAGCAGUGAUUGGCCGGUCUGGGUUCAAUGAUCAAUGCUUUAUAACUCGUCCAAACCCCCUUUCUUGACUUUCCAGAGUAACGAAUGUCCGGCGCAUGGGGUUAAUCUAAUUGGGCGUCGGUUAAGUAGAACAGCGAGCGAACUGCUAAGCCGACCUUUUUAAGCAUGAUGAAGAGGGCGUGCGAAACCGAAUCAGUGGCCUCCACCAUGAUCGAACCGGUUUUUUUCUCACUCAGUUCCUCUUCGGAGGUUGAUAAACAGAGAGUUUUGGACUUGGGUCCCAGAUCCUUUCCAAGCAAUCUUCUAGUUCUUAAACGAAUUUUGCUAACAUAACAGUUUUUUAGCUACUUUAACGAUAAUAGCUCGAUGUGAGUCAUAAAUUCUUGAAUAAAUGAACCCCACAUCAAUUUAUAAUUGUUUAUUAUUUGAUUUUUUAUAGUCCAAAAUAGAUUAUUAUCCUCAUAAUAAAUUAAAAACAGUCAAUCAAUCAUUUCUCUUAAUAACAUGACUCGGAUACCUUGGAGCACCAUUAUGACUUUAUGCACUGUUAUUUUUUGGGGCACCUUCAAGGGUUACCGCAAGGAUGAGUGUUGGUCUCCAAUGUGGCUGCAAAGAUAGGCAAGGUUAAUGAGAUAUUAUAUUGUUGGUAGAAGGUGGAAAACAGAGAAACGAACCAUUACAGCUUAGUCGCACUUGGUGACCUUUUAGAUGCAAAGAGCAAAGGCUGUGUCUUCACUUAGGCUAAUAAUAGAGAGGAGAACACUUUGGCUAAAAAGAGAUUAGAAAAGUGUUAUGCAAUGUAGAUUAAAGGGUGAACUAUCCUAAGGCGGAGGUUUACGCGCUACUAGCAUGCGCUCUCCCAUUCUAGAUUCGCUUCACUCGGUCUCUGCCCUUACACGCGAGCCUCUUCAUUUUAAACCUUUCCGGAACGCGAGAGAGAGAGAGAGAGAGAGAGAGAGAGAGAGGGAUAAGUAUGUGGCCGGGCCUUGAGUACUUUUUUAAUUGGGCCAAUGGGCUCUUGCUUUAUACUUCUAGGCUCCGGGCUUGAGCCGAUUGGAAACUUUCGAUAUUGGACUUGGAGGUUCAAGGACGAACUGCACUAGUGGGCAUGGAAUUGUGUCAUGCCCAAGAAAUCAGAUUGGGCCUUUCCAUAUUGACCGAAGUGGAGCCCUUUUAAGUUUUUCUCUUCUUCUUUUUUUCUAUUUUCUUAUCUAUGUAUUUACUUAUUUAUUCAUCUCUAUCUCUUUACAAAAACGCGUGCUCAAUUUGUUAUCCGUCACCUAUUUCCGCCUCUGGCCACGGAUUGAUGCAGCAAUGGCAACCAACACUGCAAAGUGGCAGGCCCUCGGAACAACACUUAGUCGUAGUCGGCCCACCGACUUGGAUCCAAGAGAAAGGCGCAUGCAUUGUGGACCGGCAUGAACUCGUGCCCGAACGCUACAUCAAGAGACGCGGCAACAUCCGAGCAUAGGACCCCAAUCAGGCUCUCUGUUGCGGUACUCAUAGGAAUCAAAUCAUGGACUUGAUACUUUCCAACCCCAUUGCCAAUCCCUUUACCAGUAGGGCCACUUACCUACGAGCAUCUAUGCCCUCGUUCCACAAGCUGUCAAAAGGGUCAUUCUUUCACUACUUAUCCUGGGAUUCAGAUAUGAAUGUGAGUCGAUUCGAAGAUUGAGUGAAAUGCUAAACUGCAAUCAUGCAUUACUCUGCACAUAAUAAUAUAUUUGUUUAGAUGAGGGAGGGAGGAUUGAUAACUCUAAAGCAAGAGAAAUGAGAAAAUAGAGUAUUUGGUAUGAUCCCAAACUUUGCUUCCAGAUACUGGCUCAGUGGUCAUCGGGGAGCUUGUCGCUUAUGUUAUAGAAUUCAUGGUACUCUAGUUACUGGAGUCAAAUUAGAUUCCUUGAUGAGAAAUUUUUGUUGUGCCACUAUCUCGUGCAAUGGAGUUUUGUUCCUUGACUCAAUACCCAAGAGACACUAGAGUUGUCUCUAGGGCAUCCAUGUAAAAUAAGCAUUAACAGGCUGAUCCAAUAACUUGGAUUUUACUGAUAAAUUUCUUCCAUUAUCAUUCAAUCCUUCCAUAUAACACACGGCAAGGGAGUCUUUGUUCGCUGUUCUUGAAGGUAAAGUCUGUGGUAGCAUCUUCAAUCCAUGAUACAAUCUGUGGCCCAGAUGUGACCAUUAAUAAAGACAUGCAUGGGUAUGUCAUGACAAUAUGGUGGGCAAUUUACUUCGAAUUUGGAUAGUUAAUUAUUAGGGAGGGCAUCCCUUUUAUUAUUUUUUUUAGUAGAAUUAUGUGGAAUUUGAAGAUACUUAGAAUAUUUCACCGAAUGUUUUCCUGUUCCACUUCGAUCUAUCUAGUCCACGAUCUAUUAUUGACCUACAAUUUUAAUGAUCUUAUUAAUUUUUUAGGACGUAUUUUCACGGCAGAUUAAUUUAUUAAUAUAUUUGGCUGAAUGGGUUACGGUCAGUUUUCACUUGUAAAUCUUCCUGGAUAAAUAAUAGUUGCGCACAUUGGAAGGUGGAAAACAUAUUUGUCGAGGUUAGGGCACUUGCUUCCUUUCUCUUUCUUUUUUUUUUUUCUCUUUUUUUAUUCUUUUAAAAGUUGUGUGCUUUACGGGUCUUAUUAUUAAUCUUCUCAAUUCAACUGAUAUACAAUUGAAUGGAAAAAUAAGAAAAGAAGACAUUAGAACAAGCCUUCAUAAGGUAAAUGAAAUUUCAAACUGAUCAGGUAACAUAUUUAUUCACUAAAUCUACUUUGACAUUUUAAAGAGGCAACUCCUCAAUAAUUUCAUUGUACAUGAAAUAUGAUGGGCUUCCGCUUUGGCUUCUCCAUCCACUAGGCUGCUCUUCUCUCCAGCAUUCUCACAUGUCACACGAGCCAUUUUUGGGCUUUCCCAUUUCAAAUACAAUGUAUGAUGUUAAAAUCCCAAUUAUAAUUCCAGAUGCGUAACCUAUCCACAUCACUUUUUGCUCGAACGAACUCUCAUGCGCUAUACGAUUGAAAGUUGAUGAUGAUGAUGGUGGAGGCGGUUGAGCAUCGCUGGGGCAUGCUUUUGGCAAUGGUUCCACAUAAGCCUAGAUUCCCACUAAACGAGUCACUUGAAAACGUGCUCAAUUGCUUGUCUUGAGGAAUUCGAUCGGUGAAUUGGUUCUUCGAGAGGUUUAAGUACCCCAAGGGAUGUCAAAUCCCCAAAUUCUUUGGGAAUUGUGCCACUAAGCUUGUUUGAAGAAAGAUCAAACCAUCCAACAUUAUUCAAGUUCCCUAGCAUCAGAGGAAUGGAACCUAUAAGUUGGUCAUGAGAAAGCUUGAGCCCUAUAAGAGAGUGAAGAUGUCCAAUAACUUCCGGAAUAUCCCCUUGGAAAGAGUUGUGUGACAAGUCAAUGGUUGUGAAGACGGUCAAGAUCUUCACUAGCUCAAUUACUUGCCCUUUCAUCAUCUAGUCACGGAAUGACUUGCCCUUGAAAAAGAGUUGUGUGACAAGUCAAGAUUGAGAAAGUGGCGUACACCUCAUGGACACGCAUGAACUCACGCCCCGCGGCUGUUGCCCCCACACCAGCUCGCGCAACGACGUCUGGUUGCAAGAUUCUGGCGAACCUUCGGUAGGCGGUCUUGAUCUCCUGGCCCACGGCGCCAGCCCCAAUCCCCAGCACCUCGUACAGCGACGAGGCCUGGGAGCGGGCCCCAGGGGCCAUUAGCCUCGGCCUCUUGGUGGUCGACGCGCAAGAGGCAGAGACGACGCAAAGCAGGCAGCACCAGACGCUGGACGGCAGGGGCACAGGGUAGCCGCGGCGGGAGGGGGGCGUGGGACUGGAGGAGACGGCAGAGAGAACGAGGGAAGCGGACGCCAUUGGCAAUGUCGAUGUGGAUGAGCGGGAAUGUAAGUUAAUACAGAGUCCGAGCCUGGCAGAAAGAUUGGCAUAACUAUUAUCUUUUUAGCCAUCGCCUAUGAUUAAACCCAAAACAUCCCAAAUCUAGAACCCCAUCAUGCACCCGGUUCUUGGUUCGUAUAGACCCAUAAAUCAUAAAUCGAUUUAAUAGGACCCCAAAAGUAGAAAAUGUGAUGUUACAAAAUAGAGUAGUACAAGAGGUGAGUAUCAACUGUGUAACAAUAGAUCACUACCGUGCGAUUGCCUCGCGAGGUUUCGGAGGAAACUGGUAAGGGACUUUUGAGCCCUUAGUAGCGCAAUGCUAGCUUCUCUCUCAUUUUUAUUAGUAGCGGCUGGUUGUUACUGAAUCGACUAUACAUUCCGUACAAGCUUUCGGAGCUCCUAAUAUAAGUACAACAAAGAAAAGUAUUACUCAUAAACAUGGAACCUAAAAAUGAUUUUGACAAUGUGACGGGGAUGUCAACCACACUAACUACUGGCAAGUGGCAAUUGGCAAAUGCAAAUUUCACCAACAGGCAAUGUUUUUAUAGGCACUAAAGAACGACCUAAACAUUGUGAAGUUUGUGCAUGCCAAGGGAGGCCCAUAUAUAAUGGUGUACAAGCUGGAGGAAUGAAUUAGCCCGACCGACUAUACCUUGUGCCCGACUGACUAUGGCUUGUGCAAAUGUUACCCAUAUCCCAUGUUUUAUGGUGUGUGCUUAUGAAAAACGACCAAUUGGUUUAUGAUGUUAAAAGCAGAAUGUUAAAUGAGUACAGAUUAGGCAACCCAUGGAGCUUUUUCCUCUUUCUUUUUAUUUCAGCCGGCAUGGAUUUGUUCAAGUAGUUAUAAAUGGACCUCGAGAGAUUCGAAUACUCCAACAAUAGAACUAAAAGCUCAGGCUGUAGGAGAUAUCUGUCGACUUACUUGCCGAUCAAAAUCAACGGUGUGAAUGGAGUAAACUUCGUUGGUUAUUUGAAAGUCUUUACUGAUUAAACCGCCAAACCACCUGCUUGCAUGCUCACUGGACUCCUGGGAAUUGAAGAUUGAAAAGCAAGUCACUAAUGAGAAACCUGAACAAAUCUAAAGAAGGAAGAUGAACAUUAUGUAAAACUAAAAUUAUUGCAUGACCAAUGGAUCCCGUCCAAAAUGUGUUGGUUUAAUUUCAGCACGGGUGUAUUUGCACCAAUUCCGAGUACAACCGUUCCAGCAAGAGCAUGAAUAUAAAUCAGGUGGAUUCAAAUGCGAAGGAUAAAUCGAGUUUUGCAUAUACCUACUAAUGAGCGUCAAAUUAAACACUCAUAAGAGAGCUUAGCCUCCCAUUUUUUUAUAAGAUGAUUUGUAGUAUUUCGCUCUUCUUAUAACUCCCCAGAUUUGAUGAAGUUAGCAGGAAUUGGAAAGGCAAAGGCAUUUUUAGUUUCGCUCAUCUUAUAACCAUUCUCCUUUUAGCUAUAAGGGGCUUCCUAAAUCUAGCACCCCAUCAUCCACCGGGUAUUCGGUUCAUAUACUACCCAGAAUUACUAAAUGAUUUAAUCGGAACCCAAGAAAGAGAACGUAAUGUUACAAUGUAGAUUACAACGAGAGGUGAGCAUCAAUUGGGUGAACAUAUAUUGCUACUAGGUAAUUGCCUCGCAAGGUUACCUAGGAAAAUGCUGUGCACGUCAUAGAGGAAUGAAUUAGCCCGAUUGGCUAUAGGCUUGUGCAAAUGUUACCCACAAGCCCAUUACAACCAUCAAUUUGGUUUACGUUGUUAAGAGCAGAAUGUCAAAUGAGAAAUUACCUUGUAUUUUCAGUACAUAAAACUGUCGACACUUGAUAUUGAGUACUUAAAUUCUUAGUGCUUACUUUUUAGUCUUAUCUAACGGGCUUUUAGGCUUCGACUAUGUGGGCCUAGUUAAAAGCCCAAGAUCACCCAUAAAAGAGAGCAUGUUAUGCACGUGUGGGGUGGGUGCGUGUUGUUUCGAGUGAAAUAAUGGAUGGAAUCAGAGUGUGUGGGAAUGAAUGUCAAUGGGCAAAUGCAACACGCCCAUAUCAUGCUGUGAGUUCUAAUGUAUCUAAUUUGAUGAAUAAGGAUUCCAUGGUUCAGAACACUUGUAGAAAUCAGCAGCUCAGAGUAAAAAUGAUGCCAGGAUUUUAGUGUAUGCUUAAAAGAUUUGUAACCAGCAAAGAGUGUUUCCAAUGAUUUUUUUUUACAACGACUAAGGAACUAAGUAUCGAAUCAAUGACGUACUGGUGAAACUUCACACAACCCAUACAUGUUUAACUCGUAGCAGCAGUAGGCAAUGCGGAUUUUUCUUUUUUCUUUUUUAGCAACAAAGUCAAAACCAGGUACCCCCUCCUCUUCCUCGCGUUCUUGUUCGAAAUCUUCUCCUCCUUCGUCAUUAUCUUCGCCAACCCAAGUCUCCAAUACAGAUAAAGCUCGCAGUCUGCUGUGAUCGCCAUCUCUUGUGGCCUCAAUUUAAGCAUGCAUUAAGUCAGGUUCAACUUCACGCAGCAACUUCCCUAACAAAUACGAUUAGUUAAGGAAGUUUACAUCGCAUAUUAUGGACUCGUGAGGCACCAAUGAAAUCAACACCUCUCGUUCCUAUUCUGUAGAAUACAACUAUAUAAAACUGCUUUAGUAGAAAGAAAAAGAAACAAAGACAUUUAUGUUUCAUCUAGAAAUGAAAAAAAAAGUGUUCAGCAAGCAAAAUUUUAGAUAUUCCGCCCGGUUUGAGCAUUCAUGUACGCCUUUCCCGAGCACAUCAUUAGCAGUUACUCAUCUUUAUUGAUAUAUGCUCGAGGAACUAUAGUGCAAGUACCAUCCAAGCACUUUAAAAGUACAAGCCGACACACUCAAACUCAAUCUAAGUAGGGAAAAAAGCGGCAGUUAGGAAAGAGAUGCUUACUCCAAGAACUACUUUGCCCGGAGAGAACUCAUCGUGCAAUGGCCAAGCAUAGUGAUGGAUUUAUGAGAUGGGCUUAAGGCCUGUCCACCCAUGUUGGGCCUAAAAGCCCGGCCCACGGGAAUAGGGCCCGUGGAUGGGGGAAUGUAUAAAAGGGAGGAGAGAGAGAGAGAUGACACCCGUUGGAAUAGAAUGUACGUACGUUCUCUCCCUCGCUCUCUCUCCAAAGAAAAACAGUAAGCAAACGGCGACACUGUCUUCCCUUCAAGGCGUCAUCGGAUCGAGCAGGGCCAGAUUCUCUUCCUCUUAUCGGCGUCGGUGUCUAAUCUGUAGCUAACAAGGUACGCUCGAAUCCGUGGUGUGUUUUACGAUCGGUGAUACGUGAUUUUCCCGGGCUUCGCUUCCGCAUUCGUUUUAGGGGUUCGAUUUAGUGUCGAAUCCGGUUUUCGGGGAUCCGUUAUUCCCAACAUUGGUAUCAGAGCCCUAGUUCAUGUUUUCCCGACCUGUUUGACGUUUUUUCAUUGAUUUUUCGCGAAAAUUUUCGACCGUACGGAUCGGGCCGUGAAAUCCCGACACCCGAGCGCUGUUCGGCCAUUUUUCCGAGUUUUCGUAAGUUGAAAUCGAAUUCUGAUAGCAUAGGAAGAAAUGCGUCGUCAAGACGAGUCCGGGGAUAGGUCGAACGCUGCUGGGCGACGCCACACGCGCGGUCGGAAGGCGCUACGCGUGGGCGCAAUGCGCCCGGAAGCGCUCGCUUCGCCAGCGCGUGCGCUACACGCGCCGGUGGCGAACCGGCACGUGCACGCCGGCGGCCGGCGAACCGGUACGCGCUGGUCGGCGGACCGACGCGUGCUGACGUCACCGUGACGUCACGGUAACCGUCGGGAUUACAUCAUCGGUGACGUCAUCGCCAACGACCGUUGGCCGGCCGGCGACCCGACCUGAUGGCGACCCGACCCAACCCAACCCGCGCGGACGCCUAGCACGCGCGCGGCACGUGCGGUCGGUCGGUCCGACCCGCGCGCCUGUUGACCCAAUCAGUUGACCGACAACCGUUGACCGUGACCGUUGACUUUGACCGUUGACCCGGAAAAAAAAAUUUGUUUCUUUUUUCAAUUAUUAUACCUAUGUGGGUUAUAUGUAAUCCAUUAUUUAUUCUGCAUUUGUUGCAUGAAUUUUUUCGAAAAUUAUGUAUUUUCCCUUAUGUAAAUUAUGGAUUAUAAGUGAUCCAUUUUUAGUUCUGCAUUUGUUGCAGGAACUAUCAUGCGUCAUGCACGAAUACCUGCAAUCCCGAGAACGGACGAGGGAAAUGCAAGACUUAAAAGGCUGAUGUCAGAUUUAGCUAAUUAUCGGUAGCAUGACGGUGAUUUAGUAUCACAUGUGGUCAGGGUCAAUCAGAUGAUACAGGAAAUCAUCUAGAAUGGUUAUCUUAUGUCGGAUUUUGAGAAGGUGCCGGCUUUGAUAAACACUCUUCCACCUGAAUGGCAAGCAGUGUUAGGUCGGCUAUGGGAGGUCAACAUGGUUCGGAUUAUAGAAGGCUAGUGGAAGCUUUUGUAAGAGAGUACUAUAUGAUUGAGUUAACCAAAACUUCAACCCUUAGAAUGAGCGCCACAUGGCGUAGAGUAAAUGCGCCUUGGUGGCGACAUGAAAGCUCUCCAAAAGUUUUUCCAAGGUUGGCAAAUGUGCCUUCAGUUUUCUCAGAUGUUUUGACUGAUAGAUUAGAAGGGACAUUCCCUAAUUAUUUCUUAGAUUAGUUUGAGAUGUUUUAUGGGUGUAAAUAUCUCUUUCCAUGUUGAUAUUUUUUCUCUGUAUAUAUUGCUUAGUGUAAUGUAUGGUUGUAUUAUGUGAAAGCAUUGUUAUUUUACUGAAUAUUAGAUAUUGUUUGCUUUCUGUUAUUGUUGACUGCUGUGGGUAGUUGAUAGAAGUUUUUGUAACUUCAUAGGAUUUAUUUUGCAUAAGACAAUUAUAUUAAUAAUAAUUUUGAGUUAGGAUUUUUGGAGGAUGAUUGGAAACAUAGUGACCUUUUUUAUUCUGAAACCUUACUUGAAAUUAUUCAUUGAUAUGAUGGGUCUAUGCAAAUACGGAUGCAUAAAUGAUAGGCAUUAAUUAUUCGUGCAUGUAUGUCUGAUAUGUUCAGAUCGAUGUUUUCAGCAACUAAGAACGUAAUUGCUUAUAUGAACAGCAACAAUUGUGAAAUAUUGAAUAUGAAUAUUCAAUAUGUGCUGGAAAAGCAAGAAGCACUAGAAGCUCUUGACCAUAUUAUGGAAGAUCUAGAGGAUGCUGUGCGCCACCUUGAGCUAGUAGAGGACUGCCUAUCGGCAUUUGAGCCGAAAAUAGACAUUGGCAAUGCUGGUUCUAGCUCAGAAAGGGUUUUGAGCUCUAAGCGCAAACAUAUUAAUUCGUACAAAUGUGACAAGAUAGGUCACUAUACUCGCAACUGUUGUGAACCGAAAAAGAUAAACACCUCUUGUACAUUUGAGAACUUUGAUUAUGUGUCAAGUUCUGCAUUAUUGGCUGAAUCCAAUCCUUAGUGGACUAUAGAUUCAGGAGCGACAGACCAUGUAGCGAAGGAUAGAGGAUCCUUCGUUGAAUUCCGACGAGUACCAACUGGAACUAAGUGGAUCUAUGUGGGAUAUAACUCCAGAGAUGAAGUUAAAGGGAUUGGCACCUGCCAAUUGAACAUGCGUGGUGGACGCACCUUGUUCCUACAUGAUGUUCCAUAUGCUCCAGAGAUUCGUCGAAAUUUAAUGUCUGUUUUGGUGUUGGUUAAGCUUGGUUUUAGUGUGAACUUCCGUAAUAGAGAUGUAGAUUUGCAUUUGGAUACAAACUACUAUGGUUGUGGUCACUUUCUAGAUGGUUUCAUUGUACUAGAUGUUGACUGUGGUGAUGUCAAUAUUUGUUCCCUUGUUUCACGUCUUCUACUUAAUAUGAUAAUGAUGUGAAUGUGUGGCAUGCUAGACUUGGUCAUAUUGGCCAACAACGUAUGAAUAGACUAGCCAAAGAGGGCUUGUUGGGCAACAUUGAAAAAGUCGAUUUGCCAAUAUGUGAGCAUUGCCUAGUAGGGAAAAUGACAAGAAAACCAUUUGAAAAGGUAAAAGAGCUGAAUUUCAUCUGCAUUUAAUCUAUUCUGAUGUAUGUGGUUCAAUGAAUGUGAGAGGAAGGCAAGAGGCUGUUUAUUUCAUCACUUUUAUAGAUGAUUCUACUCGAUUCAGAUAUGUUUAUUUGAUUUCUCAUAAAUCUGAAGCAUAAGUUGUUUCAAAAUGUUUAUGAACUUGGUAGAAAAUCAAUUAGACAAGAAAAUAAAAGUAUUUAGAUCUGAUCGAGGUCGAGAAUAUUUAUCUGAUGAGUUCAGAAAAUUAUGUGAUGAAAGAGGAAUAAAAAGACAGUUGUCUAUUCCAUAUACUCCUCAACAAAAUGGUGUUGCGGAGAGAAUAAACAUAACCCUACUAGAAAUGGUUAGGUCUAUGAUGGCGCAUGCUAACUUACUUUUCACUUUUUUGGAGUGAUGCGUUGUUAACUGUUGCCUGUAUACUUAACCAGGUGCCUUCCAAAUUAGUUAUUUCCACUCCAUAUAAGUUAUGGAUAGGUAGAAAACCGGACUUAAGUUUUCUUAAGUCAUGGGGUUGUGCUGCCUAUACUCAUAAGUCCUCUCACAAGUUUGGGAAAUUAGGUCCCAAAGGAAAUAAGAGUAUUUUAAUGAGAUACUCCGAACACUCGAAAGGGUAUGUGUUCAUAGGUGAGCAGGAAAGUGGGAGUAUAACUGAAUUUGAAUCAUAGGAUGUCACGUUCUUAGUGGAUGAAUUUCCUAAGAAGGGCGAAAUAGGAGAAGAUUUCUCUAUAUUUGAAACCUUGGAUCAAGAUGAUGAUAUCGUCAUUAUCUAAUCUAUCGUCAUUAUCUAAUCCAAGUGGGAGCAUAAUGGGAAAUGAUGUGCUAAGUGUGCAAUUUCCCAUACGGCGAACAAGUUGCCAAAGUAUUCUCCGUCGACGUUUUGACAUUGAAGGGGAAACUUUUAUGGUUGCUCCACAAGAUGAAGAUGAGCCAAGAAAUAUUAAUGAGGCUCUAAAUUGCCCUAGUAAGGAAAAAUGGAUUUAUGCAAUAAAAGAAGAAAUUGAGUAAAUGAAGUCAAACCAUGUUUAAGAACUGGUUGAUCUUCUAAAAGGACGCAAAACUAUUGGGAACAAGUGGGUUCUCAAAAUAAAGCGAAAGGCUGAUGGCUCAAUAGAAAGGCAUAAGGCUCGCCUUGUGGCGAAGGGGUAUAAUCAACAGGAAUGAAUUGAUUAUGAAGAUACGUUUUCUCCUAUAGUAAGAUUUACCUCGAUUCGCAUUAUUCUGGCAAUAAUGGUUAGUAUGGAUCUUGAGUUACAUCAGAUGGAUGUAAAGACUGCUUUCCUCAAUAGAGAAUUAGAGGAAGAAAUAUAUAUGGAACAAUCUGCUGGUUUCAUAGUGUAAGGCCAAGAAGAAAAGGUAUGUCGACUUUGGGGGUCGAUAUAUGGCCUUAAGCAGUCGUCAAGACAAUGGUAUAUACGUUUUUCGUAAUGCCAUAAUGGCAUAUGAAUUUACAAUGAUAGAUGAGGAUCAUUGUGUAUAUAUCAAAAGAUCCAAAGAUCAAUUUGUGAUCAUAUCAUUAGAUGUUGAUGAUAUACUAAUUGCCAGAAGUAAUAUGGAGUUUGUUAAUACUGUGAAGAAUUCGUUGUCUUCCAACUUUGAGAUGAAAGACAUGGGUGAUGUUAUAUACAUUCUUGGAGUUAAGAUUUCAAGAUUGCAAACCCAUAAACACUCAUAUUACAAAAGGUGAAAUAUUGAGCCAUAGACUGUGUCCAAGAACUCUAUAAGAGAAGGAACAAAUGAAACAUGUUCCUUAUGCUAGUGCUGUUGGAAGCUUGAUGUACGCUAUGAUGUGUACAAGACCUGACAUAUGUUUUGCAGUUGGAAUGGUGAGUAAAUACCAAUCCAAUCCAAGUCAAACACAUUGGAAAGCCGUUAAGAGAAUACUAUGAUAUCUAAAGGGAACUGCUGAUUAUACGAUGAGUCAUUAAGAAAAGGAUCUGCGACUCUAAGGCUAUUAUGAUGCUGAUUGGAGAGGAGAUUUAAAUGAAAUGAAAUCUACCUCUGGCUUUGUUUUCUUACCGAAUAAUGGCACCAUAUGUUGGAGCAGUAAGAAACAAAAGUGUAUAGCCUUGUCCACGAUGGAAGUUGAGUUCGUGGCAUUAUCAGCAGUAGUAUAAGAAUGUGUUUGGCUUAAGAGAUUUUUUGGAUCAUUUAGGUGUUAUUGGAAGUGCUGCAGAUUCAUUGUUGGUUAACUGUGAUAACCAAGCAGCAAAAGUGUACACCAAAGAUCCAAAAUAUCAUGGCAAGACCAAACACGUAGAUACCAAGUAUAAUUUUGUCAAGGAUAUGAUUGCACGAAAAGAUGUGAACUUAGAGUACAUACUACGCAUAGAAUGGUAGUAGAUCCUAUGACAAAGCCAAUACCUAGAGAUGUGUUAUGUGGCCAUAUGAAAUCUCUAGAACUGCGUAGAGGCUGAUGUACUGAAUAUUGUAAUUUCCCUAAGUGUUCACAUUUGAUGAAUUUGUGUUUUCAUCAUUAAUGCCUAUGAAUCUUUGUUUGAUCUCUAUGCAUCUUAAUGCUCAGUGCAUUACUUUAAGUUAAGAGAAGUAUGUCGGACAGAUAUAAGAUUAGCCCACUCACACGGGUAAUCGCCUCUGUUUACUGUGUGAUAAAUAGAGAUGAGACUGUUUUUAAGCUUAUUAUAUAGGUGAUAAUCGAGAGCUCAAGCUUAAAACACGUAUGUCACCUUAACUAAGUGUUAAGAUGAGGACAUAAUUCUUACGAUGUCCGAAAGUAAAAUACCCCACAUAUUUUACUUUAUCUGUCUAAGAUGCCAGAUAUGAGUUCUGAUGAAUUUUGUGAAUGAGUAGAUACGUGAACUCAAGUUAGACAUUGGGUAUGUCUGAACUAUCAUCUGUACGGUAUUGAAAAUGUAGACAUACGCUCCAUGGGAAAGGAGUUGAGACCGUAAUACGUAUUUCAUACUACGUAUGCAUGAGACGACCAAUAAGAGUGGCAAAAAGUUUGAUAUCAACUUUUAUGACGUGUGAGACUCUUGAGGAAAAGAGUUCCUCAAUAUUUAGUCCCCUCAUGACUCUUACUUAUUCUCAAGAUUUCUAUUUAGUGGUUGCUAUCUUAGGAUGUUGCCAAUGGUCAUGAGUUUGAUUCGAUCUAAUGGGACAUUUCUAGAAAAGCAAGCUAAACUGAAAUUGAGAGUUUGAAGGAAAGAGGAAUAUCAUUUUUGGAGAAUCACAUUAUAGUUUUGUAUUCACCGGUUAACCAAUUAUGACUGUCUUUGGGAUAAUCAUAAUUGUGAAUACAAUAUAUAUAUCAUUGUUUAAAAGAGAUCAAGAGAGAUAUAAAUGUGAUCGAUCGAUCUAGGGAACUGCAUACUAAAUCUACUCAGGAUGUGAUGCCCAUUAUGAGCUGCUAUAUAUUCCUAACAGAUGUAUGGCAACGAGCUCUCAAAGUAUGCUGGUCGCACGGAUUAUUCACCGGUAUGAAUGUUGAAGAGAGGUAAAGAGAAUUCUGUUCGGCCCACCAUGUGCGAGUGGGAGAUGAUGGAUUUAUGAGAUGGGCUUAAGGCCCGUCCGCCCAUGUUGGGCCUAAAAGCUCGGCCCACGGGAAUAGGGCCCGUGGAUGGGGGAAGGUAUAAAAGGGAGGGGAGAGAGAGAGAUGACACCCGUUGGAAUAGAAUGUACGUACGUUCUCUCCCUCGCUCUCUCUCCAAAGAAAAACAGUAAGUAAACGGCGACACUGUCUUCCCUUCAAGGCAUCAUCGGAUCGAGCAGGGCCAGAUUCUCUUCCUCUUAUCGGCGUCGGUGUCUAAUCUGUGGCUAACAAGGUACGCUCGAAUCUGUGGUGUGCUUUACAAUCGGUGAUACGUGAUUUUCCCGGGCUUCGCUUCCGCAUUCGUUUUAGGGGUUCGAUUUAGUGUCGAAUCCGGUUUUCGAGGAUCCGUUAUUCCCAACACAUAGCAAAGCAAACACCAGGUGAAGCGGCAAGAAAGGCGAGAAGAUUGUCACAAACACACACGUACACACUUACAAAAACAUGAAUAAAAAUGAGAUAGUACCAAUUUAAUUGAACUGCCUUCGCUUUCCUUCUGGAACAUCCGGUCCCAGUCUCUGCGACAAAUCAACAAACAUCUCAACGGCAUCACCUUUGCAAGCAUCCGAGCGCCCAACGCUGCUUGCUCCAGAGAAGCCACUCUGCAAUCUCCCUUUUUAAAGAAAGUAUAACGAAUCUACAGUGCUCCGUUAUUGACACCAUUAUAUCCACGAAGCCCGUGAAAGCUCAAAUCCGUGCCGCCUCCAGGACACAUUGUUUUUCCCAGCACAAUCUGAGGAUUGAUUUGGGGAUGGGACAAGGAAGUGAGCUCCAUGCCCCAGGGGACAUCACACCGAGCCUCGCGCUCUUUCUAGUUGAGGCUCUUCUAGGCGUCAAAGUCGGAGUCGCUGCCGUACGACGGUGGGCAGUUGGGGAAUCUGAGCCCGCACGGCCGAUGACGGAUGUCGCGGUGUGCCGAAGGGACCACGCCGUCUGGAACAGACAACGGUGAGGAUGUGACGUCGUUCCAAAGGGCGAAAGAGAUAAGGGAGAGGGGGAGAGAUGGUGGCGGCGGCCAACGGCGGCGGUGGAACCUCGGCCAUGGCCGAAGGGGCAUGUAAAAUGGGCAUUGACAGACUCGUCUAAUCAGUAGGAUUUUAUUAACAACCGUCAACUAAAUGCAUUAAGGUCAGUAUCUACUCCUAAUUCUUCACGGACAAAUAUAACCAAGGCAAACAGGAAGAUGGAAAAGAUAUCUGCAGUGGAUAAUGGCUCUAUAUUCAUUUUCCUGUUUUUGUGGCUCUUUUUUUUUUUUUAAGCUGUGUGCUUGACAAAUUUGAUUAUUCAUCUUUUCAAUUCAACUCAUAUACAAUUACACCAAUAUACAAAAGGAGAAGACUAAUAACAUAAAUGAUAUUUGAAGCCAAUUAGGCGACAUCUUUAUUUAGUGAAUUUACAUUACAAGAUUGAAAGAGACAACUUAUCUACAAUUUCAUUGUCCAUGAAACUUGAUGGCUUUCCGCUUUGGCUUCUCCAUCCACUAGGCUACACUUCUUUCUAGCAUUCUUACGCCUCGCGAGAGCCAUUUAGGCCUUCCCGUUUCAAUUGCAAUGUAUACUACGGAGAUCCCAAUUACAAUUCCAGAUGCAUAACAUAUCCACACUACUUUCUGUUUGAACCAAAUCUCAUGUCCUUCGCGGUCCAAAGUUGAUGAGGAUGAUGGUGGAGGAGGUUGAGCAUAGCCAGGGCAUGCUUUUGGCAAUAGAGUUCCACAUAAGCCUGGAUUUCCAUUGAAUGAGUCGUUUGAAAAUGUGCUCAAUUGCUUGUCUUGAGGAAUUCGACCAAUGAGUUGGUUCUUCGAGAGAUUUAAGUACCCAAGGGAUGCCAAAUCUCCUAGUGUUCUAGGAAUUCCCCCACUAAGCAUGUUUGAAGAAAGAUCAAGCCAUCCGAGAUUAGUCAAGUUUCCUAAAGUCAAAGGGAUGGAACCAAUAUGUGAAAGGUUGAGUCCUAUGAGAGAGUGAAGAUGGCCAAAAGCUUCAGGAAUGUCUCCUUGGAAAGAGUUGUGUGACAAGUCAAUGGUUGUGAAAAUGGUCAAGAUCUUCGCUAGCUUUGUUUCUUUCCCUUUCAAUGUCACGAUCACAGCAUUUUCAUAUGACCCUUCAAAGGAAGACCAUGUCAUAUACAAUGGUUCAUCUUGCUUAUGUUCUCUAUUCUUCAUGCCUCUAAGGUUCAUUAUCAAGUUGGCUGGUAAAAGACCGCCAAAGUUGUUGUUGGAGAGAUCCAAAAUGUGUAACUUCGAAAAGAUGAGAUCUCCCUUCAAAAUAUUCAGAAGACCCUUCAAAUUGUUGGACCUCAAAAUGAGAACUUUUAGUUUCGAAAGUUUUCCCAACCAUAUUGGGAAUGUAUCUUCUAUUUGAUUGCUACUAAGAUCCAAAAUUUCCAAAUCUCUACAUUUGACAAGAGACCGGGGGCAACAUGCCUUCAAACCAAUUUUGGCUCAAGUCAAGAGUCAUCAAGUUAUUUUUAGAAUAAAGUGAUUGAGGAAUUGUUCCCUCGAGGUGAUUCAUUCACAAGUUCAAAACUGACAAGUUGAUGCUAAAAUUUGUUAUGCAUUAAGGCAAGCUACCCAUUAAGCCGUUGUUGGACAAGUCGAUGACCUCGAGCUGGGUUGCAUUGCAUAUCAAAGAGGGAAUCUUUCCUGUUAUAUUGUUACUUGCAAUGGAAUAAUACCUUGUUCUGGGAGACGGAAGUGGAAUUGGCCCUCUAAAUUUUUUUUAGACAAAUCUAUUGCAUAUAAUGAGGUGUUAGAGAAAACCUUCGUGGGCCACCGUCCAAUAAAAUUGUUGUUGGAAAUUGAUAAAUGUUGAAGAACUGGGAAGGAGAGUUCAAAGCCAGUGAGGUUAAUCCUACCAUGAAAUUUGUUGGAUUGCAAAUCAAGGAAAGUUAAUUGCGGUGCUUUUAGCCAAUGUGGGAAUAUAUCAUUGAAUUCGUUGUGACCAAGAAUCAGUGAAAAUAAUUGUGCACAUUUGGCUAGGGAGCGUGGUAAUGACCCUUAUAAUUUAUUGUUGCUCAAGUCUAAAAUUGUAAGAUCGGUCAUAUUACCAAAAGAUGGGAGCACAGUCCCCAUGAGAUUAUUGUUGCUUAAGUCUAAAAUGCUAAGAUUGGUCAGUCCCCGAUAAAUUAUUGUUGCUCAAGUCUAAAAUUUUAAAAUUGGUUAUAUUACCAAAACAUGGGGGCAUAGUCCUUGAGAGAUUAUUGCUAGACAAUCCUAGAUGGACAAGUGAACUCGAUUGACAAAUUGAAGAGGGGAUCUCGGAGAAACCAUUGUUCUUGGCCAAAAAGAAAACAGUAGAAGGUGAAAGGAUUGGGAGUGGUCCUUGGAAUGAGUUUUUCAAAAGGUUAAUGUACUGCAAUCGCUUCCAAUGCAAUUGGUGUAUACCUCCCUCCAUAAGGUUAUUGGAAAGAUCUAAAUAUUCCAAUGUAUGAUGGCUUAUUCCCCAAAAUCACAUGGGGAUCUCCCCACUAAUCUUAUUGGAAGAGAGGUCUAAGUAUGUUAAUCUUUCUAACGAAUUCAAGAAAUAGGGGAAUUUGGUCAAGUUGCAAUAUGACAUCGUCAACGAAUGAAGCUUCGGGAGAAGGAGGGAACCAUUGGAAUAGACAACGUCAUGAAACAAACUAUUACUAAGAUCGAGAUCGAUGACAUUACCGGUGACAUCGUCGCAAGUGACCCCACCCCACGAGCAGCAGUUUACACUCUUGUUCCAUGCUACAUCCGUUUUGCAUGGGCGGAAUGGGAUGGUCGAUUGAUAAGAGUAAUUAUGUAUCGAAGGACAAAAGACAAUCUCCUUCUCAUCAAGAAGGAAGGAAUUCUUAAAAUGGAGCAAGGUAUCACGCUGGUGAGGAGGGCAGAGGGGGGAGGCAAGGGGAAGAGGGGAAUGUAAGAAAAAGAGGAAACAAAGGAGGAUGAGGAUUUGAAGCCACCUCAUUUUGCAAUUUAGCAUGCAAGUGAAUUUAUUAGAGAUGGAAAGUGCUUCCCUUUAUAUAGCCUUUGUCAACUGUGAAGUCAUUGAAGCAAGUCUUCUCGAAGGUUCCAUUGGUGGGCUCAAAACGUGUGUCACCCAUUCUAAAAGCUCUAUUACUUGGCAUAUGAGUAAUUUCAUAUACGACUCAGACAGAAUGAUUUCUCAUUUUCUCAUGGUUAAGGAAGAUCAGAUUUUCUGUCAAAGUUAAUUUAGUCAUAGGUACACAAAGUGUGUGAAAUGAAUAUCCAGGUUAAAAGAAAUUUUCUUUCCUAGGCACAUACACUUUUAAUUUGUUCAUUUAUUUUAUAUCAAUCACGACGAGGAUGGACUGAAAGAAACAUUGACAGAGAGGGAUUGUUAACGUAAGCUUUGUGACCCUAGGCCUCGGGGUCUCCACUGCAUCCUGAAGAUAAACACAACAGCAACUUAACAUCAAACACAAGACGUGGAAAGAAGAGUAAUUAAAUAAUAACUUUUUAUGACGUCAAGUGAUUGUUUUGUAUAGCUAUAGUUUAGUAAUUUUACUAAAGUGACAUUAACUUUUCCAGUAAUUUUAAUAAGUAGCGAUCAUAGACCAUAGUCGGGGAAUUGAGUUAUAAAUUCUCCAUAUUUGAGCUUUACAUCGGAGAAAGUUCCCUCCUAUUUGUGACCUUCUCUAAUCAGUCCCACUUCAGGGCAUCAAAAACGAGUACUGCGCGUGUUUGGGGAUGUAACUUGGAAGGGUUUUCUUCCCAGCUUCAAUCGGCGCUGCAUUUUCUCGAUCUCAAUAUUCCAUGAAAUGAAUAAAAAUUGCUUUAUAUUCACUUUAGCAUGGGAGUGAAAGUUCUUGCAAUUAUACGGCCCUUAUAAAGUGUGAAGUCAUCCACGCAAGUCUUAUCUAGAAAGUCUGUUGGUGAGCUCCCAAAAUGGGUUAGCCGUUCUAAAAGGUCUAUCGGUGGGAUUGUUGAAUCCAUACGAUUGCCAUCAUGAUGUUUUAUAGCUGGAAUAGGAUGAAAUAUUAUUGCUGGUGACAUAGGGAUUCAACUCAUAUAACCCUUCUAACAAGCCAAGUGAUCAACACGAAAGUCUUCUCUCCAAAGGUCUGUUGGUGGGCUCAUGCCAAACAAUUUCGCAGCGCGUUCAUCGACCCUAUAUUUACGUUCAGGGAUGAGCAAAAAAAAAAAAAAGAAAAAAAAAAGAAAUGAAAUCAUCCUUCUGCUCUAGUUCAAUAAGUAGUGCCUUUUGUUGUAAUGUAAUGCUGGAUCUUGAAAUUUAAGUCGAUACGAAAUCAUUGAAGAAAUAAAUGAGGAACAAUAAAGAACGCCAAAGAUUUCCGUGGUUUAGUUCGAGUGUCUGUACUUACAUUUACGGAGAGAGUCAAUAGCAAAUAAUCCAUUAGAAUCAAAGAAUCAAAAUUACAACCACUUAAAUACUCAAAUAUUUCCUAUGUCUAGAUCACACCUAAGCUAAUGGUAUUUACAGUACAAAAUUCGCCAUGGUCAACGCUCUUGCGUUUUUCAACACAAAAAGAAAAAAACACUCCUGCGUGCGAUCGAGCAAAAAGAGUGUCACCCUGCGAACCCUUUCUUACUUCGCUGUUAGUCUGUUUUUGGAGUUCACUCCACGGCUCGAAGGAAUUCUUCUGUGUGGCCGAGAAAAGGCACUCCGCCCCCACAGGAUUUAUGUGUUUCCCAAUUUUAUUUUUUUUAUUCUAUAGAAGUCAACAAAUCCACUUUUGAUUGGGACCAACCGAUUAUUCUUAGUUCCUUUUCUUGUACACCAUACCCAUUUUCAUGCAAUACAAUUUCGAUAACUCAUACUCGACUCAUCUUAGACCCCACCCAUACUCGACCUAACCCAUAUUGCUAAAACAAAUUCAUACUUAACCCUAACUAUGAAAGUAAAUACCAACUCAUUUAAUCUACUUUGGGUGCGUUUAGUUAAGCUUUUUUAAGGAGCUUUGGGCCGUCAAGGCCUCUAGGAAAAAAAAAACUGAGAUAUUUGACAAGCAUUUUGAAGUGGCUUUUGGUCAAAUGAUAGCCUUAAGAUUGUUGAAAUUAAAAAAGUAAAAUACCAAAAUAUGAAAAUAUAAAUAAAUAAAAGGAAAAACAUAUUAAAAAAUUCAAAGAGCCCAAAGGGGACUAUGUUUGUUUAUUUUAUUUUAUUUUAAAAAUUGAAUUUUAAUUUUUAAUUUCUUUUUCUUUUUCCUUCUUCUUCACCUAACCAUCGAAAACGACAAUUAGCAAUAGGGGAGCUCAAGCCUCACCACAAGUCGGGAAGGCUCAAGCUCGCUUGUUUCCAACGAGCCAAGCCAAGCCAGAGGUCGGUGAGCUUGAGUAUCACAAGCACCAAAGGUCGGCCAAGGUCUAGCUUCACCAACCACCAACGAAGAAAGAAGGAAACCCCCCCCCCCCCCCAACAAAAAAAAAAGAUAAAAAAAAGAUAAAAUUUAAGAAAAUUUUAAAAAAAUAAAAAGAAGAGAUUAGAUUUAACAAGAAGAGAUUCUAAGGCCAUUAUUUAGAGGCUUAUUAUAAUUUGAUCCACCCUGAUGGUUUUUAUUAAUUAAUGUGAUGGGCCUAAGUUGGCCCGUCCGCCCAUGUUGGGCCUAAAAGCCUGGCCCACAAGAUUAGGGUCCAUGGAUGGAGGGAUAUGAUGAAUGGGUACGUUUCUUUUUUGGAGGGGACGUACAUAAGGGAGAAAAGAGAGGAAGGAAGGCACUUUUGGCAUUUACGUACGUUCCUCCUUCCUCUCUCCCUCCAAAAGAAAAAUAGUAAGUAACGUGCAACGCUCUCUUACCUUCAAGGCCAAUUGACGUCAUCGGAUCGAACGGGAUCAGUUUCUCUUCAUCAUAUUGGCGUCGGUGUUUAAUCUGUGGCUAACAAGAUACGCUCAAUUCCGUGGUGUGCUUUAGGAUUGGUGAUGCAUAUGUUUUUCCCGGGCUCGUCUUCCGCACAAGUUUAGGGGUUCGAUUUAGUGUCGAAUCCGGUUUUUGGAAAUCCGAUAAUCCCAACACACCCAUUAGAAAAAAGCUAUUAGAUCCAUCCCAUUAUUCACUUUAGCAUGUGACUAAAAGUUCUUCAAGUUAUACAGCCCUUAUAAAGUGCGAAGUCAUUGUCGCAAGCCUUCUCUGGAAGGUCUGUUGGUGACCUCCCAAAAUGGUUUAGCGCUUUAAAAGCUGUAUCGGUGGGAUUGUUGAGCUAAGAUGGAAUAUUAUUGGUGGUGACAUAUCCGACUUCUAAGGGUCCCAAAAAGCUGCCAAAUUGGGUUGAAUUUAUUUCAUGGGUUGAACCCAAAUUUCUAUCCGUUAGAUACUCUCAAUGGCGACUUAUCGUGGGACCAACACUACAUAUUCAUGAUGAAUUGAGGUUGUUGCAUAGUCAGCCGAUUUGAAGAAAUCUGAUUCCAAGGUUGACCAGGUUUCAUGUCCUUUUGUUUUGGGCAAGAAACUUGUUCCUUAUUGGUCAAACUGAAGAUGGACUUGUUCGACAUGCGUAAUGGGGUCGAACGAGCUUUUUCUACCGCCCAUCAAUUGCGGCCAUCGUUUGUUCAUCUCCCUUUCCACUACGAUAUAAUUACUAAUCUCUCAAUGUGUUCGGAUGGAUUAAAUCUUUGAUUAUUCUUACUUUAACCUUCUAUUUUCAAUUAUAGAUCUUUGACCUUUCGGGAGGGAAGAAUUAUAAGAAAGAUACGGAUUUCUAUAAGAAUCACGCUAUUUCACUUAUUUGCGUUCUAAUUGGACUUUCAAUGAAAAAAGAAAAAGGUCAAAGAUAAUUAGAUUAGAUGGGAUAUUAUUGGUGGUGACAAAGGGAUUCAACCUAUUUAACCCUUCUAACAAGCCAAGUGAUCAACAAAGUCUUCUCUCAAAAGGUCUUCUGGGAUGCUCAUGCCAAACAUAUUAUUAUAUUGCCCACCAAGGCUACAUCAAAUGGAAUUGGAUCCCGUGUAAAAAGCGUUCUAGCUUUGUCAAAAGUAAACAAAGUUUAGAGAAGGAAGUUAAGACAAAAUUUAUCAUCAUAUUUCCUUUGUCUUUGGAGUGAUUUUUCACUUCCUAAAAUUAGGAAAUAAAAAAACAUUCAAUAGAAAACCUUGCCAUGAAUUACCCUUAAUCAGACAGGAUCAUGUUUCUCGAUGGUUUUUUUCUUCCUCUUUUCAUCGACCCUAAAGUUACGUUCCGGGAUGAGCCAACAAGAAUAGAAAUUAAAUCAUCCAUUAGUUUCAGUCAAUUAGUAACGCUUUUGAUGUAAUAUUAUGCGGAGACUAAUAUUGAAUCUUGCAAUUUAAAUCAAUGCAAAAUUACUAAAAAAAUAAACGAGCAACAAUAAAGAACGCUAACGAUUUACGUGGUUCGAUCUAAGUGUUGGUACUUAUAUUUACGGGCAAAGCCAAUUGCAUAUAAUCCACUAUAAUUAGAUAAUCAUAAUUACAAUUGCUCACGCACUCAAGUAUUUUAUUACAUCUAAAUUAUACUCAAGAAUACGGUGUUUAUUAAUAAAAUAACUCAAUUGGACAAAAAUUCAUAGCACAAAAUCCAUCGUGGUCAACACUCCUCCAUGUGAUCGAAAAAAAGGGUGUUAGCAUGCGACCCGUUUCUUACUUCGCCCUACCGUCUUUUUUUUUUUUGGGGAGUUCACUACACUGCUGGAAGGAAUUAUGUGCGGCCAAAGAUAGGUACUCCUCCCUAGGGGUGAGCAUGGUCCGAAUUAGGCCGAUCCACCUCCUAACCUUAGGAUCAAUCCGUACAGUGUUGCUUCUCAAUUUUUGGGACUGAGGACUGGCCCUAUUAAGCCUAAGACCGAGGCCGGACCAACCUAAUGGGUUUGGUUCGGUUCCAAGAUCAACCCAGGACCAACCGAUAAUUUUUUUAUUUCAUUUUUUGCAUUUCCUAAAAAGGCGAUCGAGAAUCGGACCAACCUAAUGGGUUUAGUGACGAACAAGGUUAGCGAAGAGAGGCGAGCAGCGUGAGCAAGGAGUGUCAAGUGGGGUGAGCGUCGAGCAGUCAGCAACACAAGUGACCAAAAGCGAGGGAGGCGAGUGUUGAAUGGCGAGUGAAGAAGUUGUUUCUUUCAAUUUUAGCAAGUUGAAGACUAAGAUGACAAAGAAGACAUAAGAGAACGAGUACUGGAAAAUAAUAUCAUUAUGAGCUAUUUACGCUGUGAGAACUCCUCAUAGAGACAUUUUCCUCAUUUGUAAAUAUGGUUGUUGAUGCCAUAAAAGACAUUAAUAUAUUCACCACUACCACACAACAGUCUUAGAUCUUUGUUCAUGUGUAGAACGUCUAGCGUACUUCUUUUGUGCUUAGGUGAUGUAAUCAUAAUAGAUGCAACACUGAGAGUGUGAGAGAGGAUAUAGUAAGGGCAUAUUUCAAUGUAGUUGAUUACGGUGUAUGCAUAUUGGUAUUCAUUUUGUACGCCGUAUUAGCUCACGACCUUCCUAGGGGAAAAAAUGUGUUGGUUUAAUUUCAGCGCUGGUGUAUUUGCACUAGAUUCAAGCACGUAUGUUCUGGCAAGAGCAUGAAUAAUACUCAGGUGCAUUCAAAUGCAAAGGAUAAACUGAGUUUUGCAUAUAACUACAAAUAAGUGUCAAACUAAAAACUCAUAAGAAGAGAGCUUAAUCUCCCAAUUUUUUUCAUCGGAUGAUUCGCACUAUAUCGCUCUUCUUAUAGCCCCGUGGAUUUGAUAAAAUUAGCAGGCAUUGGAAAGGCAAAGGCAUUGUUAAUUUCACUCUUCUUAUAACCAUUCUCCUUUUAGCUAUUGCCUAGGAUUGAAAACGGGACUUCCUAAAUCUAGCACCCCCAUUAUCCACCAAGUAUUCCUUUCAUAUACUACCCAGAAUUAUGAAACAACUUAAUCUAAACCCAAGAAAGAAAACGAAAUGUUACAAGUAGAUUACCACAAGAGGUGAGUGUCAAUUGUGUGAUCAUAUAUUGCUAUUAGGUAAUUGCCUCACAAAGUUACUUAGGAAACGGGUAAGAGACAAACCAUGCUAGCUUCUCUCAUUUUCAUUAGCAGCGGCUGGGUGUUCUUGAAUAGACCGCAUACUCCCCAUAAGCUUUCGCAGCUCCUAUUGGAAGUGCAACGUAGGAAAAUAUUCACCAUUACCAUGCGAACUUGAAGAUAAUUUUGACAGUGCGAUGUAGGAGAUGACGAUCAUGCUAAGUACCGGCAAUUGGCAAAUGCAAAUCUCAGCUACAGGCAAUGUUUGCAUUGCUCACUGAAGAACGAUCUAAACAUGGUGAAGUUUGUGCAUGGCAAAGGCAGGCACAUACAAAAUGUUGUGCAAGUUAUAGAGAAAUGAAUUAGCCCGACCAACUAUAGGCUUGUGCAAAUGUUACCUACAUGCUGAUGAAAAACCAUCGAUUCGGUUUACUUUGUCAAGAGUAGGAUGUCGAAUGAGAAACUACUUCCUAUCUUCAGUACAUAAAACUGUCCACACUUGAUAUUACCUACUUAAAUUCUCAAUACUUAUUAUUUUAGUCUUAUCAAACAAGCUUUUGGGCUUCGAAUAUGCGGGCCCAGUUAAGCACCCAAGAUCACCCAUAAAAGAGAGCAUGUGAUGCGGGUUCGGGGUGGGAGAAUGUUGUUUUGAGUGAUAAUAAAUGGAACCAGAGUGUGUGGGAAUGGAUGUCAAUGGGUAAAUGCAACACGUACGUAUCAUGCUGUGAAGUCUAAUGUAUCUAAUUCGAUGAAUAAGAAUUCCAUGGUUCAGAACACUUGUAGAAAUCAGCAGCUCUCGGUAAAUACGAAGCCAGGAUUUUAUUGUCUGCUUAAAAGAUUUGUAACCAGCAAAGUCUGUUUCGAAUGAUUUUUUAGCAACAACUAAGGAACUAAGUAUCGAAUCAAUGAAGUACGGGUGAAAUUUUCUUCUCUAGGUGAUUGGGAAGUGGACUGAUCACACAGCCCAUAAAUGCUGAACUCAUUUUCCUCUAAGAGGAUGCAAAUGAAACUUUUGAGUGGCAGCGGGAGGCAAUGCAUAUUUUUUUUUUCAGCAAGAAAGUUGGAAACCAGGUACCCCCUCCUCUUCCCCGUGUUCAUGUUCGAAAUCUUCUUUCUCCUUCGUCAUUAUCUUCGCCAACCCAGGCCUCUGAUACAGAUAAAGCUCGCAGCCUGCUCUGGUCACCAUCUUCUGCGGCCUCAAUUGAAACAUCCAUCAACUCAGGUUCCACGUCUCGCAGCAACUUCCCCAACAAAUGUGAUUAAUUAAGGAAGUUUACAUUGGACAACAAAUCAUUGACACCUCUCGUGCGUAUUUUGUAGAAUACAACUAAAUAAAACUGCUUUAGCAAAAAGGAGAAAAAAAAAAAAGAAGACACUUAUGUUUCAUCUGGAAAUGACAGCAAGCAAAGUUUCAGAUUUUUCACACGGCUUGAGCAUUCGUGUACGCCUUUCUCAAGCAAAUCAUUAGCAGUUACUCAUCUUUAUUGAUAUAUGCUCGAGGAACUAUAUUGCAAGUACCAUCGAAGCAUUUUCAUAGGAAAAACUGCUCCCACUCCGCACUACUUACUAUGCAAAGUUAACCAUAAGUCUCUCCUUUCCACUACAAAGGAGCAAAGUUUGGUUACUAGUAACUACUUUAUCCAAUAUAUGCAAGACUUUGAUAUCGAAUUUUGGGUUUCAUCCAAGACCUUUUGGCCAGUGAAGGGCAGAGCAAAUGGAUUCUGUUGCAAAAAGAUUUGUAUGAAGUUUGCUGACCAAAGUUGCAAGGGGCAAUUAGGGAAGACAAACAUCGUGCAAGGUGAAGGAGGAAAUGGAUUGAUGUUGCUUUCACAUCCAGUAUCAUUUUAAAGAAACACGGAGAACAAGAUGAAAUGCAGAAAAAGACAAAGAAAGGGAUAUAUGAAUUUAAAGGCAAAGGUGAGCUCCCACAAAGAUUGGGUCUUCUAAUGAACACUUAUUUUUAGACAAUUUUAUGUAUAUCAACUAGACCAGAUUAUUAAGCGUAAUCCUAAGUAAAGAUAGUAUUUUACAUAAGAUAAUAUAUUUCUUUCUCCCUCCACGUACAUUCCCUGCAUAGGCGUAUCUGCUUUUUCUGCUGAUUCAAAUCAUUUAAAUGCUAUGUCAUUAACCUAUUAAUUAUAUGUGGCAAUCAUCACUUUUAUUGGGAGGAUAGAGAAAAAUUGUCAUGCACACACUUACUAUGUUGUAUGGACUAAUAUAUCUAAUCUGACAUAUAAGGUUUCCAUGGCUUAGGACACCUCUAGAAAUCAGCACAUCUCAGUAAAUACGAAGCCAGAGAUUAUAGUCUAUGCUUAGAUUUUUUAAUAAAAACUAGGGCACCAAGUAUCAGAUCAAGUAAGUGCAGGUAAAACUUUCUUCUCUAGGCGAUUGGGAAGUCGACUCCUCACACAUCCCAUACAUGAUGAACUUGUUUUCCUCUAAGAGGAUGCAAAUGAAACUUUAUGUGGCAGUGGUAGGCAAUGCAGAUUUUUCUUCAGUGACAAAGUUAAAACCAGGUACCUCCUCCUCUUGUUCUUGUCCGAAAUCUUCUUCUCCUUCAUCGUCAUCUUCGCCAAACCACACCUUGGAUACAGAUAAAGCUUGCAGCCUACUGUGAUCACCAUCUUUCGUAGCCUCAAUUAAAGCAUCCACUAACUCAGGUUCAACUUUUCGCAGCAACUUCCCUAACAAAUAUGAAUUAUUAAGGAAGUUUACAUUGCAUAUUAUGGACUCAUGAGGCAUCAAUGAAUCAUUGAAUCAACACCGCUCGUGCGUAUUUGGUAAAAUAAAACUAAAUUAAAAUGCCUUAGCCAAAAAAAAAAAGUAAAUAAAACUGAAGAGAAAAAAAGCCAAAGACAUUUGUGCUGUAUCUGGAAAUGAAAAAAAGCAUUCAGCAAGCAAAAUUUCAGAUUUUUUGCGCAGCUUGAGCAUUCAUGUACGCCUCUCCCGAGCACAUCAUUAGCAGUUACUUAUCAUUAAUCAAUGUAUGCUCAAGGAACUAUACUGCAAUUAUCAUCCGAGCAUUUCAAAAGUACAAGCUGACAUACUCGAACACAAUCUAAAAGGGGGGAAAAGGGGGCAAUUAAAAAAGAGUUUCUUAUCCUAAGAACUUUUGUUUUGGGCAAGAACUCAUCGUGCAAUAGCCAAGCAUAGCAAAGAAGAUACCAGGUGAAACGGCAAGAAAGGCGAAAAGAUUCUCACGAACACACACAUCCACACUCACAAACAUGAAUAAAAACUUGACAAUACCAAUGAAAUUGAACUGCCUUCGCUUUCCUUCUCGAACAUCCGGUCCCAGUCUGUGCGACAAAUCGACAAACAUCUCAACGGCAUUAACAAGUAACAACUCAGACCAAAAGCCUCAAGAGAAACAGCCACGCAUUGGAGAAGCAUCACCUUCGCAAGCAUCCGAGCGUCCAACGCCGCUUGCUCCAGAAAAGCCACUCUGCAAUCUCCCUUUUUAAAAAGAAAGGAUAAUGAAUCUACAGCGCUACGUUAUUGAACAUCAUUAUAUGUACACGAAGCCCGUAAGAGCUCAAAAUCGCGCCGCCUCCAAACACAAUAAUUUUUUUUUCCCAGCAGUAUCUGAGGAAGCGCUUGAUUUGGGGAAGGGAAAAAGAAGCGAGCUCCACGCCUUCUUCUGGUUGAGGCUCUUCUGCGCGUCCGAGUCGAAGUCGGAGUCGGAGUCGCUGCCAUCAUCUUCUCGGGGAAUCGUACGGCGGCGGGCGGUUGGAGAAUCUGAGCCCGCGCGGCCGGUGAUGGACGUCGCGGUUACACCGUUUGGAACAGACAACGUUGAGGAUGCGACGUUGUUCCAAAGGGCGAAAGAGCUAUCCGUAGUGGAUGAUGGCUCUCGCUUCAUUUCCCGGUUUUUUGGCUCUUUUUUUUUUUUUUUAAUUGAGCUUGACAAAUUUCAUUAUUCAAAUUUUCAAUUCAACUCGUAUUCAAUUACACCAAAAUACAAAACGAUAAGACAUUAGAAACAAGCCAUUCAUAAGGUAAAUGACAUUUGAAGCCAAUUGGGUGACAUAUUUAUUUAUUGAAUCUACAUUACACAGUUUAAAGAGACUAUUCCUUAACAAUUUCACUGUCCGUGAAACUUGAUGGCCUUCCGCUCUGGCUUCUUCAUCCACUGGGCUGCACUUCUCUCUAGCAUUCGCACGCCCCGCGCGAGCCAUUCCGGCCUUCCUAUUUCAAAUGCAAUGUAUGCUAUGGAGAUCCCAAUGACGAUUCCAGAGGCAUAACCUAUCCACACUACUUUCUUUUUUAACCAACUCUCAUGCCUUUCACAAUCAAAAGGUGUCGAGGAUGAUGGUGGAGGAGGUUGAGCAUCACCAGGGCAUGCUUUCAACAAUGGAGUUCCACAUAAGCUUGGAUUCUCACUAAACGAGUCGUUUGAAAAUGUGCUUAGUUGCUUGUCUUGAGGAAUUCGACCAAUGAGUUGGUUCUUCGAGAGAUUUAAGUACCCAAGGGAUGCCAAAUCCCCCAAUACUCUAGGAAUUUCCCCACUAAGCAUGUUCGAAGAUAGAUCGAGCCAUCCAAGAUUAGUCAAGUUUCCUAAAGUCAAAGGGAUGGAACCAAUAAGGUGGUUGUGCGAAAGGUUGAGCCCUACAAGGGAGUGAAGAUGGCCAAAAGCUUCAGGAAUUUCUCCUUGGAAAGAGUUUUGUGACAAGUCAAUAGUUGUGAAGAUGGUCAAGAUCUUCACUAACUUUAUCUCUUGCCCUUUCAUCAUCACGGUCACGGUAUUUUCAUAUGGUGCUAUCCCGUAGGGAUGGGUCAACCAUGUCAUAUACAAUGGUUCAUCUUCCCCAACUUCUCUAUUCUUCAUGCCUCUAAGGUUCAUUAUCAAGUUGGCCGAUAAAUGACCACUGAAGUUGUUGUUGGAGAGAUCCAAAAUGUGUAUCUUCGAAAAGAUGAGAUCUCCCUUUGGAAUAUUCAAAAGACCCUUGAAAUUGUUGGACCUCAAAAUGAGAACUUUUAGUUCUGGGAGUUCUCCUAACCAUCUCGGGAAUGUAUCCUCUAUCUUAUUGCUACUAAGAUCCAAAACUUGCAGAUAUGUACACUUGACAAGUGACCGGGGCAAUGUGCCUUCAAAUCGAUUUUGACUCAAAUCAAGAGUCAACAAUCCACCUAUCAAAGAAAUUGAUUGUGGAAUUGUGCCCUCGAGUUGAUUCAUUCGCAAGUUCAAAACCGAGAGAAAAAUGUUCUCAUUUGUUAAGCAGCGAGGAAAGCUACCUGUUAAGCUGUUGUUAGACAAGUUGAUCGUCUGGAGACAAGUGGCAUUGCAUAUCAAAGAAUGAAUCUUUCCUGUUAUAUUAUUAUUUGCAAUGGAAUAAUACGUUGUGAAGGGAGAUGGAAGUGGGAUUGGCCCUUCAAAUUUGUUGUUGGACAAAUCUAUUACACCUAAUGAGGUGUUGGAGAAAACCUUUGUAGGCCACCGUCCAAUAAAGUUGUUGUUGGAAAUAUAUAAAAUUCCAAGAGCAGGGAAGGAGAGCUCAAAGGCAGUGAGGUUGAUCAUACCAUGAAAUCUAUUGGAUUGCAAAUCAAGGUAAUUUAGUUGCGGUGCUUUCAGCCAAUGUGGGAAUAUAUCAUUAAACUCAUUGUGAUUGAGAACUAGCCCCGAUAAGUUUUUCCAUUUGACUAGGGAGCGUGGUAAUGGCCCUUGCAAUUUAUUGUUGCUCAAGUCUAGAACCUCAAGAUUGGUUAUAUUACCAAAACUAGGGGGAAUAUUCCCUAAGAGACUAUUGUUAGAC
rnacentral:lncRNA from 1 species